rnacentral:lncRNA from 1 species
AUUAUUAUAUAAUCAUACUAGAUAAUGAAUAGGACUACUGCGCUAUUAGAAAUACAGUAAGUAGCUUUUAUGCUCUUAACUUUCUAAGGAUGAGAGUGAAAGAAGAGAAAUUAGAGAAAACACUCAUCAAAAUUGAUGAAUAAUUAGAAAGAUAAGAAUACUCUACUCCUAAAUAAUAAUAAUACUAUAGCAAUAAUAAUACUCUCUCUACCGAUCGUCCCCAACAAAAGUGGCAAAAAACUUGAUUGUUAAUACAUGAGGUUACAAAUUUGAAGUAUAGUUGCUUCAUAUUAAUUUUCAUCUAAAUUUAUUUUUCUAAAGAAUAAAUGAAACAAAAAGCAGGCUAUAUUUCUCUCAAAAACUAAAUAAUAAUUGAUUAACGACGAAAAGAACUAUGAACGGUAACAAAUAUUUUCAAUUAAAAUUACUAAAAUAAUUCAAUUUCGAAAGGAUAAAAUGUAUGGCGACCUCCUCAACUACUAUAGGCCAAUCUUGUAUAGAAUCCUCAAACUUCUAUUUUUGUUGAUUCACACUCCUCAGUCUCUAUUUUGUUUUAUUUGUUAAGUUAAAACUUUUAUCAAAUUUAAUAAUCAUCUUAGUGUUAAUUGGUCGAGUUUUAUUUGUGGAUAAAAUUAUAUAAAUUUAGUGAAAUUACUAAUAAAUUCGAUAAAAUCUCCAAUUUUUUGGAUUAAAAUCACUUAAUUAACUUUAAAGAAAUUGAAAGAAAAGGAGUUUUCAAUCUAAAAAAUAAAAGCUUAGGGGAGGCAUAUACAUGAGGGGGUUCCAUAUAUAUAGUUUUAAAAGAAAAGAUGUAUUUAAUGUGCCGUAUAGGGUAGAGAUGCAUUUAAUAUCUGUGGCGAUUGUUUUUAACAUAAGAUCGAUUAUUAAGAGGUGGCCCUAAUUAUAAAUAUUUUUUUUCAUAAAUUAUAAUUUUGAAAAUUAUAAUUUUCUAAACACUAAUUUAGCAAAAAAAAAAAAAGAAAAAGAAAAAAAAUUUUCUAUGUUAAAAAUCGUUUGCUCAUUAUAUUAGAAGAAGCUGUACUCACUCAAGUCAAAGAUAGAACAGGAAGAGACCUGAAUGAAAUUUCUAAAUACUUCUUACCUUAUUUUUCUUUUGCUCUAUUUACAUAAAUCAUUUUGACUCACCUUGAAGUUGGUUUUAUUCUUUCUUUUUUUUUUUUUCUUUUUUUUUUCUUUUUUCCGAUGCAGUGCGAAUGUUUUCGGCGUCUCGACGGAAUCAAUGCAGUGUUCCUACGACUCCAGAGGGAACAGCAUUCCCACAAUACUCUUGCUAAUGCAAAGACGCCUCUACGACCAAGGCGGCCUUCGGGUACAUAAACUUUUCACUCCGAGGGCUUGUUUGGUUCAUCUGUUUUAAACUAUGAAAUCAUAAUGAAAUCGAUCCAUUGAUUUCGAUAAUUAUUAUUUAUUUCACAAGAAUUAGAUUUCGAUUUUCAAUCCACCCUAGAAUGAAAAUAAUUCAAUCCAUUUAUAUCCUCCGGCCUUUGAAUUCCGGAUUUGCCCAUUUUUCGAAGCAAACCACUCAAAUAAAUCACUCUCUCACAAACACUUCUUUCCGUCCUCCCUCGAUCGCUCUUCUGUUUCUUAACCACAAAAUACUCUCUCAAAAUCCUAAAUGUUCAUUCUGAUUUCCAUUUCAAUAAUGAAAUAAAACAUUUUUAGACGACUCGCCGUUCCAUUUCUCUCAAUCCAAUGCCGAAAAACUCAGUUCCAAUUUCCAUUCCUAUUUUCAAUCACGAACCAAACACGCCCUUAUUUUCGGAAUUUAUUACUAAAUGUUCUUGCGAGUUCAUCCAUUCAUCUUAAUGUGGGUAUGCCUUAACAGGAAGAGGGUAUUUUCAGAAUCACUGCAGAGAACAGCCAGGAGGAGUAUGUGAGAGAACAGCUGAAUAGCGGCGUCGUUCCUGAUGGUAUUGAUGUUCAUUGUCUGGCAGGCCUAAUCAAGGUAAACCUCAAACACGCCUAUUUAACAACUCACCCCUAAUUAAAACAAUUCAAAAUUUAGGUUUGAGCUUGAAUUCAAAUUUUAUAUUUGAAUUUCAUAUGAAUAUUAGUUUGCAGUAAUCUGAUUCACGAGAGUCGGAUUACUGGUUAUAUUGAAAUAGCCAGAUAUACUGCAUAGCGCGAAUCAAACAGAUCCAAGAGUUUGAACAUAUAUAUAUUAUCUGUAAAUGCAAAUAUGGGGGAAGAUGCAUGCUUUUUUGAGGCUUUGUGAUUUGUAAAGUGAGUCUCUACAUUCAACUUGAUUCAAGUAGGGGAAGAUGCUUGGAGUCACUAGGGUAUCUCCUAAUAGAAAGUUCUUAUUACACAGAACCGGAUACGAUACGGUACAAAUACAACAAUACGGCAAAUUUAGAAAAUCUUAGGGUAUGAUACGGGAGGAUAUUUUUAAUAUGAUAAUAGACUUCAAAAGAAGUUUAGAAUCUUUGGAUGAUUAGUUAAUGUAAAGUAAUAAACUAACUAAUUUGUGUAAAGAUAUAAGCACAAUUAAAAUUCUUAGUGUAUCCGUCCCGUCCUAUAUCAAUCAAGUAUCCAAUAAUUUUCUAAAUUUUCAAAAUUGACAGAUACUUCUACAAAGUAUCUGACACGUAUCGGACGCGGGUCGCACGAGUAUAGGCAUCUCACAUGUAAUUGAAAUGCUACGACAAGCGAAAUGAAGUAUCAUAGCUUGUAAGGCACAGCAUGAUGAUCCCCUAGCUAACUCCUUCGAUAUAUAACACGAUUAAAUCACCAAAGUUCUACAAACUGACCAAUCUCAUCCUAUUUCAUUAAAUUGAUCACCAUCUUAUGCAUAAAACAUAGUCCAAGGAUGAUAAAAUAGUAGGCUAAUAUACUGUGGUGGGUAGUUUCCAUUACGCUCGUAUAAUCGGAGGAUUUGUUUUCCAGGCUUGGUUUAGAGAGCUUCCUACCGGAGUGCUCGACUCUCUCCCGCCGGAGCAAGUAGUGCAAUGCCAAUCAGAAGAAGAUUCUGCGCAGCUCGCCAGGCUUCUGCCGCCGACGAAAGCCGCUUUACUCGACUGGGCAGUAAACUUGAUGGCUGAUGUGGUUCAGGAAGAACAAACUAACAAGAUGAAUGCGCACAAUGUUGCGAUGGUCUUCGCUCCCAACAUGACCAAGGUGAAAACCUAAGACCCAUAAAUGUAUGCGCACUAAAAUCCUUCAAACAGCAUCCCGUGUAAACUAAAAGUAAAAGUUUCAGAUUAGAGUUUCUGUUUCUAUUUUUGACAGCUAAAGUCGCUAAUUUUAGCUUCCCACUACAAUCAGAAGUUCCAUACUUUUCAUUUCGUAGAAGUUUGAGUAGAUGGGUGGAUACCUUUUGUCAUUUUGCUGGAAUGAGAUUAUGGUUUUUUUUUUUUUUUUUUUUUUUUUUUUUUNNNNNNNNNNNNNNNNNNNNNNUUUUUUUUUUUUUUUUUUUUUUUUUUGCAGUUGGCAGAUCCUUUCACAGCAUUGAUGUAUGCUGUGCAAGUGAUGAAUUUUCUAAAGCUGCUCAUACUGAGGGCUCUUAGAGGGAGAAAGGAAUCGAACUCAGAACCAUCUAUUCCCGAAACAAAACCUUGGGACGAAACCGGCCAUCGAAAUCCUCAGCUUCUUCCUGAAUCCUGCGACAAAACUUUAAGCCCUUUCAAAGAAAAACCCACCACUGAUGAGCCGGCCGAUACUUCUCGGUCGUUUCGCGACGGCAUCACCCUCGACGGCGGUUCGACCAGCGCUGUCGAUGGCUUGAAUCUGAAUUCGAAGUCUAAUGAGGGAGAGAGAAUGAAAGUUGACGGGGAAAGUGCGGUUAGAGCCGAGAUGCAAAAUGGUGAUGAGGAGCUGAAGGCCGGGAUAAACAGAGUAAGUUGAAUUAGUUUCUGGGUUGUGUGCAUUUUAAUGGCUAACUUUUAAUUGUUGAUAGGAUUGAGACGAGUGAUUGCGCAUUUGCUUUAGAAAUUUUUAUUAGUAUGUUUCUUGUUGGGUUUGGUUUUUUGUGGUUUGCAGCAUCUUGGGGACUAACUGCUUCUUUGUGCUUGCAUUUUUUUUUUUCUUUUUUUUAACUUAACGUUUGGUAUUAUUUUCAAUUGAACCUUGAUGUUUGGUUUUAUUUUCAAUUGAUGGAGUUGUUCAGGUUUGUGAGUAAACAGGCACAAUAUCUAUUCAUUUUUAGAUGAGCUCAGAUAUUAAAUUUUCGUCUAAUCUUAAGUUUGAAUAGGAUAAGUUUACAAAUUGUUGCAAGGCUAGAGGAUUUGAUCAUUAAAUAUUUUUUUUCUAAUUUGAGUAUUAUUCAUUUUUUACUAUCUUAAUUGCAAUGCAAUGUUAUCAAAACAAAUCAAUUUAAAAGUAAUGCAAGAGUUUAAUACUAAGUCUCGCAAUAUGCACCAAUUUGGUGGUCUAUGCAUGAGAAGCAGAGAACUCAAUUACUUCUUUAAAUUAAAUUAUCAACAAAAAAUAAAUAAAUAAAAUAAAAGAAAUCGAUCAAUCUGAUGCAGCAAAGCACAAAUAGUUUCGCUGUUGAAUCUUAUUUCCAUCUACACCUUGCGGUCUCAAAUUUCACUUUCUUGAAGAGUCGAAGCAAUUAUUAAAUCAGAACCCCAUAAAAACUUACAUCUAUAUAUUCUCCCCUUUUUUAAGGGUUACAUGUGAUGCCGCAGACGAUAAUGAUAAUGAAAUAUGCAUGCAAAUACAUCACAAGUAAUAUAAGAGAAUUAUUUACAUAUCAUAUGGCGCAUCAUAUAAAUUUAGCAGAUAUAAACAUGCAUCAUAUGUACUCCACUACGUUUCUCCUCCUUCCUUACCAACACUUUAUAUAUCUAUUUCUCCCACAAAAGCAUGUAUUUCUUCUCCUUUCGUUAGUAUAAUCAAUCAUCAUAUAUAUAUAUAUAUAUAUAAUUAUGCUACUAUACUAUCAAUAGUACCAAGCCCUUAGUACUAUUGAGUUUUCGACCGUUGAAUGAAAAGAUGUGCGGUUAGGAUGAGAGUGGUCCCCAGUAAAAUUGAUAGUAGUCCCCUAGGGUUGAGUGGGUGGUUAAUUUAAUAGUAUAAUCUAACGGGUGGAAAUGAUCAAAGGGUAGAUCUAACGGUAGAAAGACUCAAUAGUAUAAGAGAUGGGUAUUAUCGAUAGUAUAGUGCCGGACUCUAUAAUAUAUAUAUAUUAUAUAUAUAUAUAUAGAGCUAUGCUGAUAUACUAUCGGUAGCACGGAGACCUCCGUGCUACCAAGUUGUUUUCGAUGAUGCGGUUUACAAAUCGACGGUCGGUUCCGUUAGACUUGAUCUAUACUAUUGAAAGUAUUUUGAAACUAAAUUUUAUAAUUUUUCGACAUCAUUUACCUAUCAAACGAGCAGUCUAAAAAUGAAUGGCUGAAAAUAAAAAUAUCAUAAAAAACGAUGAUAAAAGACUUGAAUUUAAGAUAAAGAGGUACUGAACUUACUCUAAAUAGUGAAAAGAAUUUUCUAUAAAAAUUUCAUCAUAUUUCGAUUGUUUUAUACCGUUAAAUUUACAAACGCAUCAUAUCUAUCAUUAAAAUUGACAAUUUUGAGACCUUUUGAUCACUAGCCGAAUAAUAUCGAAAAAUUAUGAAAUUUAGUUUCCAAAUACUUUCAAUAGUGUAGAUCAAGUUUAAUAGAACCGAUCGUCGAUUUGGAAGUCGCAUCAUUGAAAACAAUUUGGUAGCACGGAGGCCUACGUGCUACCGAUAGUAUACGAGUCUAGCUCUAUAUAUAUAUAUAUAUAUACCACUAAAACCUAAAAAGAUAGACAUUUAAAUUUAGGCUAACCAUCAUCUAGCUGGUCGAUGCCCAGCAUGUCAUUAUCGUCCACCCAUAUACCACCUCCAUCCUUCAUUCUAGUUGAACCCCCUAUAGCAGGGCCCUGUCCAAUGUAAGGCUCAUAAGCAGCAUAGAAAGCAAAAGGGGGGUUGAAACAACUCUCUCGCUAUGAAGAGAAAUUCUACUAUCUGUGAUAGUAGCCUCAUAGAAGUUCCCUCAACAUCUUUUAUUUAUUGAAGUCAUUCAUUUGUAAUCGAAGGAGCUCUGGGCGAGCGGCUCUUCUAUACAUCCUCAAAAGAGACUCGAGGAAUGCACAUCCACGGCACGGUACAUCACCUUGAUCACGAAUGCAUAAGGAUGGUUUCCCAUCACAUUUCGCCGUCUUCUCCAAACCUAUAAUCAACUCAAUUUCUUCAUGAUCAAUAGUGAGGAUCACAAAUGCAUAAGGAUGUCUUCCCAUUACAUUAGCCGUCUACUCCAACCUAUAAUCCAUUCAAUUUCUUCCUGACCAAUACUGAGUUUAGAUAUCACCAGCGUAGAACCAUUAUACCAAACUGCCUGAUUGAUGCUUCUUUUGAAGACCUUGGCUUUCUCAGUAGGAUCAGCGUUGUUGAUUGGUUGGGAUUGCUUCAUCUCAAUCAUUCUUGCUAAUCUUGCCUAAUAUUCUCGUCGUUUUACGAUUACCUCUUCGGUGCAAGAGCUAGAUCCAUAAACUUUUUGGCAUUCCUUCAAAGAGAAAGACACAAUAUCAUACUAACAAUUGGCUUCUCAAAUCAAACAACGAAACCUAAGUUAGAGCCACCUUUAGAAGACAGCAACUUUACUCGGGAUAACUCUUUAAGUUUUCUUUCUAAACUUGUACCUAUCUCUCGUAUAAGCUAGUUCUUACUUAUACCCGAACCGAACGAAGCCUUUAAGUUUUCCUUCUAGAAUCGCUUAGCCCAUCUCUUCAUUGGGUAAAUUAUUAUUCCUAAAAGUAGUCAUCAAACCAAUGCAGAGAAGAUGGACCUUUUUCCUUCUCUACUCUUUCCAUAGGGGCGGCGGACCGCUAGUCUAGCCUAUAUUGCUCUUUAGCAAAUGCAUUCCACCAUAUCCACUCUUGUUAAAUCUCUACCCUGUGGAUCUCUUCGCAUCGCUAUCUUUCUCCACUUUGAUGUUCCUUUGGAAGAGGGUGAGCACCCGGAGCUCAAUCCCAGGCGAGUCAAUACAACUACUUUCAAGAAAUCGAAUUCAAGAAGCUUCGGGAUGGAUCACGGGUCAGGAAGGAACGAGUGGAGGCGAUCGGCUGAUGAUGAAGACGUUGGACGUGCACCAGCUCCUCCCUGAGUAUCUUUUGAGGGUGUACAGAGAAGCACCAGCACUCCCACCACUCACACAACAAUAUACGUAACUCCUUUCAAUCUUUCUAGACAUCUACAAAUCAAUUAUUCCAAUAAAUAAAAGAUGUAGGGCGAACUUCUUUAAGGGCUACCAUUGCCAGCAACAUGAAUCCUCUUCAUAGACAGAUGGUCUCGUUGGCCCCUCAAGUGUUUUUUUUAUGCCGCUUACGGCCUUAAACAUGGCCCUGCUAUGAGGCACAAACAUCAGGUGGUGAGCCAAACACCAGGACGGCAAUUGAUGGAGGUGGUGCAUGGAUGGACGGUAAUGACUCAAUGAACACCGACUAGUCUGAUGAUGAUUCGGCCUAAUUUUUAGAUGUCUUUAUCUUUUUAGGUCAUAAUGAUGUCUUUUCUAUAUACUUGUCAGCUUUUUGGCUUUAGUGGCCUUAUCUCGAUUGUAUAUUGUUGAAUAUAAAAGCAAUUGAAUAUAAAGAUAUAAAAACACCGUUCUCUGAUAGUUUAAGUUUUAGGGAAGUGUUUGGAUUGGGGAUAAGGGGACGGAUAACCCCUUAUCCCCCACCUUUAUAUCCAAAUGCAAAUUUUUUAUCCGAGAAUAGUAGUUUUCGGUUACCUAAAAUAAUCUGGUAUAACUAUUCCCACCAACACCUCCAUUUUCUAUAUAUAACUAUCCACAAUUUUUCUUAUUCUAUAUUAUCUAUCCAAACGCUAUUUUUCUUAUCCCCGGGAACAAUCCAAUUUUCAUCCAAACGCUAUUUUUCUUAUCCCCAUACUUGUACCUAUUCCUGUAAUAACUAGUUCCUGCUUAUACCCGAACCAAACGCUACCUAGGAGAAUAACAGUUGUUUUAUAUCAUUUGACAUGGAAUCAGAACAAAAGGUCCUGAGUUCGAAUUCCGCCAGGUUCCUAGUAUUAUUUAACUUCCUUCGAUUUAAUUAAGUCCACAUCUUAGGCCUAUUAAAAUAUCUCAAACCCAGACAUGAGAGGCAGUGUUGAAUAUAAACCUAUAAAAACACCGUUCUCUAAUAGCUUAAGCUUUUGAAUAACAACGGUUGUUUCAUAUUACUUAACAUAUAUAUUACCAAAUAAAAAAAUUGCCCCACAAGUACCUUUCUAGUUUCCAACAUUUUGAAGUCGAAGAGUCGAACAAUUUUGUUUUCAACAACGAGAGAGAAUUAAAAAAACUAAGUGGCAAAAACCUAGAAAUGGCUAAGAAGAGGAUAAACAUAAAAAGGUUCCAUUAGUUUGGAUGACAACCUUCACAUGAAGAUCUGGUGUUGUGCUCACUCCAAUUGUCGUUGCCCCAACACCGGAAUAUCCUCAUACCUUCACAUGAAGAUCUGGUGUUUUGCUCACUCCGAUUGUCGUUGCCCCAACACCAGAAUAUCCUCAUACCUCUUCUGCAAUGAGCACAAAAGAAAUGGAAUUAGUAUGGCCAAUUGUAGAUCCAAUAUGAUACCAAUUGAUAAUUUGUUUGGACCAGACAUGUUUGUAUCUACAAAGUAUUAAAGUCUCAUUUGGCAUCAAUAUGUUUUCUUCUUCUUCUUUUUUUUGUGAAGUUCUAUAUGCAUGGUUAAAGACAUUCAGACCUAACUUCUUCGAUUUUGUUAAGUCAAACUGUUUGAAAGCCCUGUAUUUAUGAGUUAAGUUUAACCACAAAAAAAUGUAGCGCUAACCUUUUUCGUUUAUUCAAUUUUCAAAAAGAAAAAAAAAAAGGACGAGUUUGCAAAUUAAUCAAUGAUAUGGAAACAAAAUCUUCGUUGCAAUACACUAAAUACGAAAAUCAUUUGUAUUUCUUUUCCUGCAUAACAUUUAACAUUCUUCGCAUGGUACAAAUUGCAUCCAAUGAUGUGAGAUUAUUUGGAGUUCAUAUAGUAGAGAGAAGCCAACAAUAUCAUGUAUCUUUAUGAAAAACUUAUCCAAGAUAUCCAAGAUGGGCUUUCAAGCAGAUACUGGAGUUUCAACUCUUUACGAGAUUUGUAUCAAUCAAGAAGUAUGAUAAUGAACAAAUGUGGAUGAAUAAAACCAAGAAAAGUUGCACAUUAUUCUACAUUGUUUUCAUAACUUCUUUUAAUAGUUCACCAAAGCAGAACUACGACCAGCACAGGGGAAUCUGUCAUCGUGGUUAUGAAAGCAAAACCUCAAAAGAGUGUAUAUAUAUAUAUAUAUAUAUAUAGAGCUAGGCUGGUAUACUAUUGGUAGCACAGAGGCCUCCGUGCUACCAAGUUGUUUUCAAUUAUGCGGCUUUCAAAUCGACGAUCGGCUCCGUUAGACUUGAUCUACACUAUUAAAAGUAUUUGGAAACUAAAUUUCAUAAUUUUUUGACAUCAUUUGGCUAAGUGAUCAAAAGGUUCCAAAAUUGAUUAUUUUAAUGGUCGAUGUGGUGCGUUUUUAAGUUCAACGGUGUAGAAGUAUCCAAAUUAUAUGAAAAUUUAAUAGAAAAUUCUACUUAACGUUAAUAGGAAGAUCAAUACUUCCGAUUUGAAUUUUGAGUUCUUUAUCAUUGUUUUUUAUGAGAUUUUUAUUUUCAGCCGUUCAUUUUUAGGCUACUCGUUUGCUAGGUAAAUGAUGUCGAAAAAUUAUGAAAUUUGGUUUCUAGAUAGUUCUUAAUAGUGUAGAUCAUGUCUAACGGAGCCGAUCGUUGUUUUGGACGUCGUAUCAUUGAAAACAACUUGGUGGUACGGAGGCCUUCGUGCUUUCGAUAGUAUAGGAGCCUAGCUCUAUAUAUAUAUAUAUAUAUGGGGCAAUAUGUCUAUAUACCCCUGAGAAUUUUGCGGUUUUCUUAUUCUAUCUCUCGUACGAAGGCCUUGGUACUAUUGAGUUUUUGGCCGUUGUUAUGUUCAAAGUCUUUGCGGUUAGGAUGAUAGUGGUCCCCUAGGGUUGAGUGGGUGGUUGGUUUAAUAGUAUCCUUUAACGGGUGGAGCUGAUCACAGGUUAGAUCUAACUGUAGAAAACUCUAUAGUACCAUUGGCUUGGUCCUAUUCCAAUAGUACCCUUGUAGCCUGACUCUAUCUUUAUCUAUAUAUAUCUUUCAUAUAUCAUAUACUUUUCUAAUUUGCCCUUCAAAUAUCAAUUAAUUAAUAAAGCACGUCGGGAGCGAGCAGAUGAACAGAUGAGAUCGAUCGCAGCUAAACCAAACUUGGUGGCUAGAGGUAUAGUUAAUUCGGAUUCGGUAAAAAUUCGUUACAUAUAUAAUUCGUCUUUUAAUUUUUAAAUUAGUUGAAAAAUACGGCUAAAAAACGAAUUCGGCAAUUAUUCAAAUACGUGAUUUAUACGGAUAUUAUACGUUCACCAAUUAAAAUUUCGGGAUAAAAAAUUCAGCUAUAUAAUAAAUAUAUAAUAAUUAAUAUACUAUAUAUAUAUUAUUAUUAUAAUUUUUAUAUAUAGAUUAAAUAUAUUUAAAAUUAUAAUAAAUAUAUAUUAAUAAUAUAUAAGAGUUAUAUAUUUAAAANGGAGAGGACGGCGACCCCUUCGACCCCCCGCUCCUCCUUCCCCCGCCCCGCCCUCGACUCCCUCCUGUCCCUCCGUGACGUCGUCCUCUCUGGGCGCUUCCGCUGGGGCGACCACCUCCGUCCCUUGGUCCCCUCCCCGCGCGCCUCCACCGCCGCCAACUUCUUCGUCCUUUUGAAGCGCAAGCUCCGUGCCCUCCAGGAGCUCCUCCAUUCCAGGACCGGCUCCUCCACGAGCUCCUCCUCCGCCGCUCUCGUCGUCAUUGUCCUCCUCCUCCGCCGCCUUGGCCGGCGCCGGGAGCAAGAGGGCUGCAGUGACGAUCCCAUCUCGCCCGAGGCCGUCCGCGUGCCGAGAGCAAGAGGGCGCGGUGUUACGCGCGGAGGGGAGCAGCGUGUGCGCGGUCCACGAGGCCAGUUUGGCCUCGUGGACCGGAUGAGAGGGAGGUCCACGGUGGACCUCCCUCUCAUUAUAUAUAUAAAUUAAAAUAUAUAAAUAUAUGUAUAUAUAUAUAAUUUUAUUUAUAAAAUAUAUAUUUAUUAUAGUAUUUUAUUUAUAUUAAUAGAAAUAUUAUUAUAUAAUAUUUUAUUAUAAUUUUUAAUUAUUAUUGAUAUUGAAAAUACUAUAACUCUAUAUAUUAUAUAAUAUAUUUAUUAUAAUUUUAAAUAUAUUUAAUCUAUAUAUAAAAAUUAUAAUAAUAAUAUAUAUAUAGUAUAUUAAUUAUUAUAUAUUUAUUAUAUAGCUGAAUUUUUUAUCCCGAAAUUUUAAUUGGUGAACGUAUAAUAUCCGUAUAAAUCACGUAUUUGAAUAAUUGCCGAAUUCGUUUUUUAGCCGUAUUUUUCAACUAAUUUAAAAAUUAAAAGACGAAUUAUAUAUGUAACGAAUUUUUACCGAAUCCGAAUUAACUAUACCUCUAGCCACCAAGUUUGGUUUAGCUGCGAUCGAUCUCAUCUGUUCAUCUGCUCGCUCCCGACGUGCUUUAUUAAUUAAUUGAUAUUUGAAGGGCAAAUUAGAAAAGUAUUUGCUAUAUGAAGGGUAUAUAAGAAAAGUUAGUUAGGGUACAAGGGUAUAUUGGAAUGGGCAAAAUGGUAAUUUUCCAGAGAUAACGGCAGCUCACUGACGGAACUUAACUACAGGGGUAUAUUAGAAAGACUUUGAACAUAAGAAGGGUAUUUUCAAUAUUAGCCUUCUUAGAGAGAUAAAUAAGAAAACCGGAAACUUUUCAGGGGUAUAUAGACAAUUGCCCCAUAUAUAUAUAUAUAUAUAGAGCUAGGCUCCUAUGCUUUCGAAAGUACGAGGGUCUCCGUACUUGUAAGUUGUUUUCGAUGAUGGGACGUCCAAUACAGCGAUCGGUUCCGUUAGACAUGAUCUACGCUAUUGGAACUAUCUAGAAACCAAAUUUCAUAAUUUUUUGACUUCGUUUGCCUAGUGAACGAGUAGCCUCGAAAUGAGCGGCUGAGAAUAAAAAUCUCAUAAAAAACAAUGAUAAAGGACUCAAAUUUCAAAUCGGAAGUAUUGAUCUUCCUAUUAACGUUAAGUAGAAUUUUUUAUUAAAUUUUCAUAUAAUUUGGAUACUUCUACACCGUUGAACUUAAAAACGUGCCGCAUCGGCCAUUAAAAUAAUCAUUUUUGGGACCUUUUGAUCGCUUAGUAAAUGAUGUCAAAAAAUUAUAAAAUUUGGUUUUUAGAUAGUUCCAAUAGGGUAGAUUACACCUAAUGGAACCGAUCGUCGAAUCGGAUGUCCUAUCAUCGAAAACAACUUACAAGCACGGAGGCCCCGGUACUUUCGAAAGUAUAGUAGACGCACUGUAUAUAUAUAUAUAUAUGAGUUAGUCUCCUAUACUAUCUAUAGUACCGGGGCUCCGGUACUAUAGUCCCAUUUUCGAUCUUCGGGUGUUCAAAUCAACGAUCCACACCAUUAAAACUGAUCUAGGAUAUUUAAAGUUUUUAGAAAUAAAAUUUUAUAUUUUUUCGACAUAGUUUACUUUAUGAUCAAAUCAUUUCAAAAUUGUCAAUUUUCAAUGGCUACUAUGGCGAGUUUGAAGUUUAACGGUGUAGAAGAAUCUAAAUUUCUUAAAUUUUGAUAGAAAAUAAUUUAAACUAUCUAGAUUAAGAUUAACAUUCUUGAUCUUGAAUUUAAAAGUCCUAUGCUCAAAUUUUAAAGAUUAUUCAAUUUCCACCGUCCAUUUUGACAUACUUUAUUUACUAAGUAAACGAUGUCGAAAAAAACUAAAAUUUUAUUCCUAAAGACUUCAUAUACUCUAAAUCAUAUUUAAUGGUGUGGAUCGUUAAUUUGAACACCCUAAGAUCGAAAACAAGACUAUAAUACCGGAGCUCCGAUACUAUAGAUAGUAUAGUAGCCUAAUUCUAUAUAAAUAUACAUAUACAUAUAGAGCUAGGCUGGUAUACUAUCGGUAGCACGGAGGCCUCCGUGCUACCAAGUUGUUUUCAAUGAUCCGGCUUCCAAAUCGACGAUCGGCUCCGUUAACUUGAUCUACACUAUUAAAAAUAUUUGGAAACUAAAUUUCAUAAUUUUUCGACAUCAUUUGGCUAGUGAUCAAAAGGUCUCAAAAUUGACAAUUUUAAUGGUAGAUGUAUGCCAUUUGUAAAUUAACGGUAUAAAACAAUCCAAAUCAAUGAAAUUUUUCUAUAGCAAAAUUUUUAUUUACUAUUUUAGGAGUUAAGAUCAGUACCUCUGAGAUUUUAUUUUCAGCGUUCCAUUUUAGCUACUGUUUAUAUAGCGUAAAUAAUACCGAAAAAAUUAUGAAAUUUAGUUCCUCAAAUACUUUCAAUAGUGUAAGAUUCAAGUCUAAAGGAGGGCAUCCGAUCGUCGAGUUUGGAAGCCGAACAUUGGCAAACAACUUUGUAGGUACGUAGACGCUCGUGCCUACCGAUAGCUAUACCAGCUAGCUCGAUGCGGUUCCAAAUCGAGACACUAUCGGGCUUGUUAGACGUGAAUCUACACUAUUGAAAGUAUUGGAACGUAAAUUUCAUUUAAGUUCCCUUCGAUAUUGCGUAUGGUGACAAAAGAGUUAUAGAAAUUGAACUUUUAAUGGGUAAAUUGAUGCAAUGGUGUAAAUCUUAACCGGGGCACCGAUGGAGCCAUAUAAUGAAAACAUCCAUAAUCAGAUGCGGACUGAGAGUUUUUGAUAGAAGAAUUUGGGCUCGGGGGGACUAUUUAGAGGUAAGAUCAGGUAUUGCUCACGAAUUCAAAUCUUCUAUCAUCAUUUUUAUGAGUAUUGUUAUUUUCAGCAGUUCAUUUUUAACUAUCAUUUGAUAGAUAAAUAAUACUAAAAAAUCAUGAAAUUUAGUUUCCAAAUACUUUUAAUAGUGUAAUCAAGUCUAACGGGUUCGAUCGUCGUUUGGAAGCCGCAUCAUUGAAAACAACUUGAUGCGGCUUCCAAAUCGACGAUCGGCUCCGUUAGACUUGAUCUACACUAUUAAAAAUAGCAAGAGCAAUGCAUUAAAGAGUCAAUCAAAUAAAUGCACUGUGAUACAAAACCCAAGACUGUGACAUGGAUUACAUUGUAACGCAGCCUAAAUAGUUUAUAUCAUGUAAGUCGCUAAGAAGACUGCAAUUACUGUUACGAAUAUUUGCAGUUGGUAUCUGUACAAUCAUCUUAUUCCAACAUCUAAGGCUCCGUUUGGUUCGGGGUUAAGUAAAGCCUAGUUAUUCCAAUGAUAGGGUUAAGUUCAGGGUUAAGGUGGGGUUAAGAGUAAUUUUGUGUUUCAUUGAAAAUUGGAUUUAGUCCAGGAAUAAGCGAAAUAGUGUUUGGUUGGAGUAAUGGAAUAAGAAGGAUAGUGGUUGGUAAAGAGGUAAAAUGACCAAAAUACCCUCACAUUAAUCUAUUGAUAGAAAUGCUUUUUUUUUGCAUUUAAAUUGAUAUGAUUGCAAAUUAUUUUGAGGAGUCAAAUUAAAUUAAUUGGAGCGUAAUUUCUUACCAAAAAUUAUUUUUCACUACUCUUUUGUGACUUUGAAAUUACCAAAAUUUUACAAACAACUAUUUUAAAUUUUUCUGAAGUUCAAAUUUCAUGAACAAUUGCAUUUCACGAACAACUAUUUUACGAACAAUUGCAUUUUAACCCUCCAAUAACACUAAUUUCCAACAUUUUAAUUUCAGCCCCUAGCAGAGGUGAGUACUGGUACGCGAUUUCAAACCCGGUUGCGCCGAUAACACUUUUACUUCCGAAACUCACUCCUAACCAUCCUAACGCGUACAAGGCAACUUUUGCACUUCACUUAUCACUCUCAUACGACACGUAGAUCAAUUUGAUAAACAUUAGCAUUACGAUUAGGAUAUUCGAUAUAAUACACAAAUAUUUAAAUACAUCAAGCCAAUCUGCACAUCAACGAACAGUUACAAAGAUAACAACACAUUGAAUCAAAAAAAAUUAUAUAUACAACCAAAACUGUGUGAUAGAGUACAACUAUAUAACAGAGUCGUAUAACACAAUUACAUCUACCUACAUGAUUUACCAACAUUUGGCAAAUAAACAAACGCAAACAAGAAAAGCUAAUCACAAUUUCUAACAUUACUACAUGUUUCAAAGUUACAAAGAAACAAGCAAGUAUUACAAACCAUAUGCAUCUCAUACAUCAACAUCUUAGUUUAGUCAAAUUCCAAUACAACUACUACACUUAGUUCUACCAAAUAGCAAUACAAUUUUCAAAUUUAUAGUGAACUAUGUUCUACUGCUUCACAAUUGGUUUGUAAUAUUAGCAUGGAGAUCCUCACAAUUUUGGGAGUCACCAUUUCGUCCCAAAAAAUCGCGUUCUUCAUCUUCAUUUUCAACAUCCUAUUCAUCUAGCUCGCCAAAAAAUAUGUUAUCAUUUGCUUGGUAACGGCGAAAAAAGUUAUGUAGUAUACAACAUGCCAUAGCAAUCAAGCAUUGCACUUUAUACGGGUACGGUGUUACUACAUUGAGAAUUUUGAAAUGCUUCUUCAAAAUGCCAAAUGUCUCUCGACCACAUUUCUUAAUUGAGCAUGCCGGCGGUUAUACAAAUAUCGUGGAUUUCGAUGAAUGCGGGUUCAUGUAUUAGCAUCAAAUUGACUAAUAUGGUAACGCUCUCCUCUAUAGGGUGCAAGAAAUCUAUCUGUAUUUGCGUAUCCCGAGUCUAGUAAGUAAUACUUACCUGCGAAUAAGAUAAUUACCAGUUAUUAAGUAAAUGCGAAUUAUCAGUAAUAUAAUCAUAUAUAUAUUAUAAACGGGAAAUAAUUAGCAUCGCUACCUUCGGGAACAACGAAACCACCAGUUUCGCACCCCUAUCGAAGUACUCUCAUAUCGGCAGCAGAUCCUUUCCAAUCUGUGCAUACAAAUAUAAAAUUUUGAUCAAACGACACGGCAGCCAUCAUAUUUUGUGAGGUAAACCCUUUCCGACAGUGAAAUAAUGCUUGUUUGCUCCGUCGGACCACUACUGGAAUGUGUUCCGUCGAUCGCACAAAUAGCAUUCUACAGUUGAAAAGAAAACACAAAAAACAUUAGUAAUAAAACAUUUUUAUUAACCAAUGUAUUAUAUAUAUAAGCGUGCAUAGUUACCUUGAAAUGAUGAAAAUUUGGAUUAUCCCUAAUCCUUGGAUGCACGGCAGCAUUACUUGACGGCAACAUUACGUACUCAUCUUUUAGCCUCACAAUGCCACGUACAACGUUGUUAAAAUGUCUACUAAUAGUUUCUCCUGAAUGUUGGAAUGUUUCCGCGAGAAUCCGGUUUGCCACGCCAUAGCCUACGCCAAAUAAAAAUAUGGCUAACUGCUCGUCAGCAGCCAUAUUUCUUGUGCUACUUAUCAACCCCCUUUCGACUAACGCAUCGCAGAGUACAAUAAAUGUAGUUGCACUCAUACGAAAGUUAUGGUAGCAUCGUUCAUGAUAACCAGACAAAAUAUCACACAACAUUUGAUGUCCGGUAAACGGUCGAGUUUGACAUCUUUGUCUGGGGACUCUAUUUGCAAAUGUUGGAUUUUCUAGCUCAAGUUGCAUUAAAUGUUGAGUUUUCUUAGUUUCACAUAAGCUAACUUUGAGUUGUUGGUUUUCAACUUGAAGUUUUUCAAAUUGUUUGUCAUAAUGAAGAAUUGGCUUAAAAUUUAGACCUUCAAUUUUCUUCUUUAAUGCUUCAUUUUCACGAAUGAGACUACAACAUGUCUCAUUAGCUUGUUUAAGCUUUUUCGUGAGUAAAGAGUCCUCAUUUUCAAAUAUUAAAGAAGGAUUUGAAGUUGAAAAUUUUAAGUUGUUAACCUCCAUCUCUAAUAAGGCAUUUUGCUUUUUGAGAGAUGUAUAUUUCGGACCCAAACUUUGUAGAUUAUCAUACAAAGAAAAGAAGGCUUCUAAAAGUUCAUCAUAACUUAAAUUAUUUACCUCAUCUUCAAGAGCCAUAAGACAUAGUAUUGAGUUUUACUCUUCGAGGCAAAUUUGGGCAACUUCGUUUUCCGAUUCAUCAUCGCUAGAUUCGUCGGGGGCGUCCCAAUUUAGUGCAUUGAAGGCUUUCUUUUUCUCAGGAGCCGCUUCGUUGUCAUAUUUUUUGAGGCGUUGUUCAUGCGCCAUGAGUGAUCCGACAAGUUCGUCAAUUUUUACUUUGUCCAAGUCAUGAGCUUCUUGAAUAGCCGUAAUCUUAGGUAUCCAACUUCUCGGUAGUACACGAAGAAGUUUUCGUACCAAGUCCGAUUGAGGAAAAUUCUUACCUAAGGCUUUCAAGCUAUUUAUAAUAUUAGUAAAUCUUGUGAUCAUAUUCGAGAUGGAUUCACUUUCCUCCAUUUUGAAUAGUUCAUAAUUUGACAUAAGUAUGCUUAUUUUAGAUUCCUUCACCCUAGAAGUACCUUCAUGAGUAACUUCUAAUUUAUCCCAAAUCUCUUUAGCCGUUGUGCAUGUAGAGAUUCGGUGAAAUUCUUCUCUACUGAGAGCGCAAAGGAAUGAAUUGAUAGCUUUAGCAUUCAAUUGAAAAUGAAAUUUUUCAGUUUCAUUCCAUUACGCUCUUGAUUUUGAAUAUAGAGAGAUCUAAAACACAAAACUCAAGAUAAAAGAUUAGUCCAAUAAUCGUAAUUAUUUGUUAUCAUCAAAAUCUAAUAGAAGAUUAGGACCACUAGGCCAACAAUCUCCCCCUUUUUGAUGAUGACAAAUAAUGUGAUAUAAUAUUCAAAUGAGUAGAGAGCAAAAGAGUAGAAUACUCCCCCUAAAUAUAUGCAUAUAUUUAACAAGCAUAUAACACAAUCAUAGGCAUAGCAUAUAUCACAAUAAAGUAAGCAAUCAUGUAGACAAAUAUCAAAAUGUAAACGAGGUUCACAUAGCAUAGCAUAAUAAAACAUAAGCAACAUAAUAAACCACAAGGAUAACAUAGUAUAUCACAUAGCAAGUUCUCCCCCUUUGUCAUCACAAAAAAAGCAUAAAAAGGAAACUAGCAAAACUUGGUAGAAACAUAAGCUAAUCAUCAUCAUUAUCGUCAUUUUCUUCAUCGUCCUCAUGAUCCGUAGGCGAAACUGGUGGAGGCAUAGUGGAGGAGGAUGGUCGAUCAACGUGGGGUCCAUACGUGGCAUAAAAGGCACUAGAAGGUCCAAAGAGAGAGUCCAUGUAUGCCUUGAUGCCGGAAACAUCUGUCUGUAAAGUAUGCAUAUGUUCUUCCAUCCUAUCCAGUCGAUUAAAAACUUGGUCUUGAAAAUCCAUAGGAGGAGGAGCAUAAGGCAGAGGCACAACAGGUGGUGGCUGAAAGGGUAGAGGAGAAGCUCAUGGUGGCGGCUCAACUGGUGGAGAAGGCGCUCGAGGUGGCGGCUCAUACGGCAUAGGAUCAUCCCCGGCGUCGGCAUCGUCAUCACUAUGCUCGCUGGGCAAAUCAAUUAUAUGCUUUCUUACCCAAAUGCUAUGACGAUUUUUCUUGAAGCCAAGUGUGGAGAAAAUAGCUGUAGAAAUGGCGGUGGGGUACUUCAUCGGCCUCACGUCGGAAAGAUCAAAUGACAUGAACUCGAGGACGGCGGUGAGCAAAGAGCCAUAUGGAAGUGAGCACGAGGGAUGAGAAGCGGCGACGGCCAUGUGGCGAACGAUGAUAUAGCCCAAAUUAACCCGGAUUCCCGCAAAUAAAUGAUAAAGUAGAAAAAGAUCCAUUUUUUGAACAGCGGUGUGGUGACCGUCUUGAGGAAGAAUUACUUUAGUAAGUAAAAAGUGGGCGAGGCGAUGAGGAAAGAAAAGAUGAGAGCAAUCUUCUCGUGAAGUCGAAUCUUCACAAAGAAAAUGAUUACGGAGUUGCGCCUCAGAAAAUACAGGAAAGUUCCAAGUGUUGGUUUGGUAGUAGCAAACGCCGUCAUUUGGAAUGUUUAAAACGGUGUGAAGAAGGAUAGGAGUAAUGGCAAAAACAUGUCCCCGGUAGUGGGAAGUAAUAGUAGUAAAUUCGGAAUUAAAAGCGGCAUUUGCAUAAAAAGUCCUAAUUAGGUCCGGAUAAAAAGGUCGCGAAGUUUGAACAAAAAAAUCCCAUCCGACUUGUGUGAGCUUAUCCAAAAGUUCAUAACAAUCAAAAUUUAGAUGAUGAAUGUUACGGCAAGAUUGAACGGGACGACCUAAAAGAAAUUUAUCUUGAGCUUCUCUAGAUACAAAGUUAAAAGCAUCAAAAUCUUCAUUUUGAUAAUCUCUAUGUGAGGAAGAGCCUCUAGAUGCAUUUUUAGUUCUAGGCAUUUUUUUUUUAAUAAUAAUAAUAAAAAAAAGCUAGGGUUUAUGCAAAAAAAAAUGGAACAAGAUGCAAGAUCUAGGAUGAAAUGAUGGAGAUCUAGGUAAAGAAAAAGAUUAAGUUGCACAAAGUACAAGAAAUUUGUAAAAAAAUUUAAAAGAGGAAGAACAUGGAUAUGAUUAAUAGCAGGAAGAAGAAAAAAAAAAUUUAAAAAAAAUACCACAGAUUGAAGAGGAAGGAGAGGAAAUCUGAGCUUUGGAGGAGUUGUGGGCGGAUCUGAUGCAGGCUGGGCGCAGGAAGUGGGUGACCGGACUGGGAGGAGGAAGGAGAAGAAGAAAAGAAAAAAAAAAUGAAAGAUAAAGGCUGUCGGGCGGCUGGGACGAAGAGGGCCCGCUCGCGUGUUUCGGGCGCGAGUGCGAGCCGACGCGGUCGCCCAGAUCCGCAACCCGGAACCCGCAAGGGCAGUCAAAGCGGCGCGGCGGUCAAAGCAGGUUUUCAGGCGCGAGUGCGGGUCGGAUCAGUUGCCCGGAUCCGGAACCCGGUAACCCGCCAGGACGGUCAAAGCGGCGAGGCGGUCAAAGCGAGUUUUCGGGCGCGAGUGCGAACCGAGCGGUCGUCCGAAUCCGAAACCCGUUAGGUCGGUCAGACGAGGCACUGCGGUCAACGUAUGUUUCGGGCGCCCGAAAAUUUUCGGGCAACCGGAAAUUUUCGUCCGAAAUUUUCACAAGGCAAAAGGUGUUUCAAAAAAAAAAUGCAAGGCGAAAACAAAAUAACAGUCAAUCAAAAAGAGAAUAUCAAGCAGAUAAAUCAAUCAUUCCCAAUUCUCUUCUAAGUUGAGUGGACCUAUCCUCACUAAGUGGUUUAGUAAAAAUGUCUGCUAAUUGAUUAUGAGUGUCCACAAAUUCUAUAGUGACAUCUUCUUUUUGAAUAUGAUCUCUAAUAAAAUGAUGUCUAAUUUCAAUGUGUUUAGUUCUAUAAUGUGGAAUAGGAUUUCUAAAUAUGUUGAUGGCACUAGUAUUAUCACAUUUGAUUGGAACUUGUUUUCUAUGUACUCCAAAGUCCUCAAGGGUUUGUUUUCCCGCCGCGAUAUACUAGGCUUCGACGGUUGAAAGUGCAACCGAAUUUUGCUUUUUUGAAGACCAUGAAACUAAGGAGUGACUAAGAAAUUGACAAGUCCCACUCGUACUUUUCCGAUCAACUUUGCACCCGGCAAAGUCGGCAUCCGAAAAGCCAAUGAGAUUAAAAUUGGUGCCCUUUGGAUACCAUAAUCCUAAGUUGAGAGUCCCUUUAACAUAUCUAAGAAUUCUCUUUACAGCCACUAAAUGUGACUCCUUAGGUUGAGCUUGAAACCGAGCACAUAAGCAAAUACUGAACAUAAUGUCCGGCCUACUUGCGGUAAGAUAAAGUAAGCUGCCAAUCAUACCUCGGUAGAGUUUGAUAUCAACAUCCUUGCCUUUUUCAUCCUUGUCAAGUUUACUUGAGGCACUCAUUGGAGUGUUUGUCUCUUUUGAGCUUUCCAAGCCAAAUAUUUUGAUUAGGUCUUUUGCAUACUUGGCUUGAUUAAUGAAUAUUCCAUCUUUCAUUUGUUUAACUUGGAGUCCAAGGAAGAAUGAGAGUCCGCCCAUCAUGCUUAUUUCAAACUCAUUUUGCAUUAGCUUAGAGAAUUCUUUACAAAGAGAUUCAAUAGUAGCACCAAAUAUAAUAUCAUAUACAAAAAUUUGUACAAUGAGAAAAUCUUUAUCCUAAAUUUUGAUAAAUAAUGUGAUGUCAACUUUUCCUCUUGAAAAAUUAUUUGAAGUAAGAAAAGUGCUAAGUCUUUCAUACCAGGCGGUAGGAGCUUGUUUUAAACCGUAAAGUGCUUUUGAAAGCUUAAAAACGUGAUCCGGAAAGUUAUGUUUUUCAAAACCGGGUGGUUGCUCAACAUAAACUUCUUCGGAAAUGUAUCCAUUUAAGAAAGCACUUUUUACAUCUAUUUGAAACAAUUUGAAAUUCAUAUAAGAGGCAAAUGCUAGAAAAAUUCGAAUAGCUUCAAAUCUAGCAACCGGUGCAAAUGUUUCAUCAAAAUCAAUUCCUUCAAUUUGGUUGAAACCUUGGGCCACUAGUCUAGCCUUGUUUCGAACCACAACACCUGAUUCAUCUCGCUUGUUUCGGAAGACCCAUUUAGUGCCAAUAACGGUAUGAUCACUUGGCCUUUCCACAAGCGUCCAAACUUGGUUCCUCUCAAAUUGGUUAAGUUCUUCUUGCAUCGCAAUGAGCCAAUUUUCAUCAUUGCUAGCUUCAACAAAAUUUUUAGGUUCAAUUUGAGAUAUGAAAGCCAAGUGGUCACAAAGUAAUCUAAGAGAGGAUCUUGUUUUGACUUUUUGACUUGGAUCUCCAAUGAUGGAGUCCUUGGGAUGAUAAGUGGCGAAUUUCCACACUUUAGGUAAGGGAGUGGGUUCAAUCUCUUUAGAGAUUAACUCCUCACUUUUCUUAGAUGGUUCAACUUCUUGGGGUGUGGAGUUUAUAUUUAGCUUCUCAAAGUCAAGAAGAUCAUCUUCAUAAGAAAUAUCCUUUCCCUUAUAUUCUUCAAAGAGAAUGUGCAUACUUUCCUCUAUUAUUAAAGUUCGUCGAUUAUACACUCGAUAAGCUUUACUAGUAGAGGAAUAACCCAAGAAUAUUGCUUCAUCGGAUUUAGCAUUAAAUUUUCCCAACUUAUCUUCUGUGUUUAAAAUGAAACAUUUACAACCAAAAAUUUUGAAGUAACCAAUAUUGGGAGAUCUAUUAUGCCAUAAUUCGAAAGGAGUUUUCUCAAGGAUUGGUCGAAUUAGAACACGGUUUAUAAUAUAGCAAGCCGUGUUUACGGCUUCGGCCCAAAAAUAUUUAGGCAACUCCCCCUCAAUUAACAUAGAUCUAGCCAUUUCUUGGAGAGAUCUAUUUUUGCGUUCAACAACCCCAUUUUGUUGAGGUGUUCGAGGGGUAGCAAAUUGAUGUUCUAUUCCCAAUUCAUUACAAAACUCUUCAAAGUUAUGAUUUUCGAAUUCACCUCCAUGAUCACUUCUAAUUUUGGAAAUUAUACAAUUCUUUUCAUUUUGAACAAGAUAGACAAAGUCUUUGAAGGAUUUAAAAGUAUCACACUUGUGUCUUAAAAAUAAAGUCCAAGUAUCCUUUUUGGAAGAUUAGAAUGAAGAUAUUCUUUCAAUCUCUAGAUUUUGAUAUUUGGGAUAUAAUCGAAAGUGGUUAUAUCGCUCCAUCAAAAUCAAGAGCGGAAUGGAAUGAAGCUGAAAAAUUUCGUUUUCAAUUGAAUACUAAAGCUAUCAAUUCAUUCCUUUGCACUCUCAGUAGAGAAGAAUUUCACCGAAUCUCUACAUGCACAACGACUAAAGAGAUUUGGGAUAAAUUAGAAGUUACUCAUUAAGAUACUUCUAGGGUGAAGGAAUCUAAAAUAAGCAUGCUUAUGUCAAAUUAUGAACUAUUCAAAUGGAGAAAAGUAAAUCCAUCUCGAAUAUAUUCACAAGAUUUACUAAUAUUAUAAAUAGCUUGAAAGCCUUAGGUAAGGAUUUUCCUCAAUCGGACUUGGUACGAAAACUUCUUCGUGUACUACCAAGAAGUUGGAUACCUAAGGUUACGGCUAUUCAAGAAGCUUAUGACUUGGACAAAGUAAAAAUUGAUGAACUUGUCGGAUCACUCAUGGCGCAUGAACAACGCCUCAAAGAAUAUGACAACGAAGCGGCUCCCGAGAAAAAGAAAAGCCUUGCACUUAAAGGAGUCAUUGCUUCCGAGAGUGAAGAUGGCGAAGAAGGUUCGAGCGAAGAAAUCGCUAUGAUUUCAAAAAGGCUCGAUCGACUAAUCAAGAAGCGCAACUUGAGGAGACCUAAACGAGACGGGUUCAAAGGUGAAGGAUUCAAGAAAGGAAUCAUUUGCUACAAUUGUAAUAAACCAGGAUAUUUGAAAAGUGAAUGCACUCUUCCAAACAAAACCUUUAAGAAAGACAAGAAAAAGAAAGCCUUCAAUGCACUAAAUUGGGACGCCCCCGACGAAUCUAGCGAUGAUGAAUCGGAAAACGAAGUUGCCCAAAUUUGCCUCGAUGAGCAAAACUCAAUACUAUGUCUUAUGGCUCUUGAAGAUGAGGUAAAUAAUUUAAGUUAUGAUGAACUUUUAGAAGCCUUCUUUUCUUUGUAUGAUAAUCUACAAAGUUUGGGUCCGAAAUAUACAUCUCUCAAAAAGCAAAAUGCCUUAUUAGAGAUGGAGGUUAACAACUUAAAAUUUUCAACUUCAAAUCCUUCUUUAAUACUUGAAAAUGAGGACUCUUUACUCACGAAAGAGCUUAAACAAGCUAAUGAGACAUGUUGUAGUCUCAUUCGUGAAAAUGAAGCAUUAAAGAAGAAAAUUGAAGAUCUAAAUUUUAAGCCAAUUCUUCAUUAUGACAAACAACUUGAAAAACUUCAAGUUGAAAACCAACAACUCAAAGUUAGCUUAGGUGAAACUAAGAAAACUCUUGAGAAAUUUGUUGGAGGAACCAAGUAUCUAAAUAUGAUGCUUGGAAAUCAAGUUGUAAACUUCAAAAAGUUUGGGAUAGGUUAUGUUCCUAAUCCAAACAAUGUUAAGUUGACAAAAGCUAAGAGAAAGGUUUUUGUUAAAAGUACAGCUCAAAACCCAACUUUGCAUUGCUCCUAUUGUAAUAUUAAAGGACAUCAUAUAUCCUCUUGCAAAUAUAAGAAGAAUCCUAAACUUAACCAAAUUUGGGUUGUGAAAGGUUUAUCUAACACAAAAGGACCCAAUCUCACUUGGGUACCAAAGUUAAAAACUUGAUUUGUUUUUGUAGGUGUGUCUCCAAUCAAAAGGUGCAAGUGACAAAUGGUACUUAGAUAGCGGAUGCUCAAGACAUAUGACUUGUGAUCAAACCAAGUUUAAAUCAAUUGAAAUGAAAGACGGAGGAUUUGUCACCUUUGGAGACAACACUAGAGGAAAGAUCAUUGGAAUCGGCACAAUCGGUGAUGAAAAGGUUAACAUUUCCAAUGUUCUUUUAGUUGAUGGCCUUAAACAUAAUUUACUAAGUAUUAGUCAAUUAUGUGAUAAAGGCUAUUUUGUAAAGUUUGAAGCAUCUCAUUGUAGCAUUCUUGAUCCUUCUACAAAUGAGGUAGCUUUUAUGGGUUUUAGAUCCAAGAAUAUUUAUACCGUUGAUUUAGGCAAACAUGAAGGAGAAAAAUGUUUUUCGGUUUAAACUAACGAAUCUUGGCUUUGGCAUAGAAGGUUAGCACAUACUAAUAUGGAUUCUCUUUCUAAACUUUCCAAAAGAAAACUUGUAAAAAGUUUACCUAAAAUAAACUAUGCCAAAGGUGAGGUUUGUAAUGCUUGUGCUCAAGCUAAGCAAGUAAAAUCAUCUUUUAAAUCCAAAAAUGUUGUCUCAACAAAUAGGCCUUUAGAAUUGAUUCAUAUGGAUCUCUUUGAACCAAUUGAUGUCUCUGGCCUUGGUGGAAGCAACUAUGUUUUCGUAAUUGUUGAUGAUUACUCAAGAUUUACUUGGACUUUAUUUUUAAGACACAAGUAUGAUACUUUUAAAUCCUUCAAGGACUUUGUCUAUCGUGUUCAAAAUGAAAAAAAUUGUAUAAUUUCCAAAAUUAGAAGUGAUCAUGGAGGUGAAUUCGAAAAUCAUAACUUUGAAGAGUUUUGCAAUGAAUUGGGAAUAGAACAUCAAUUUGCUACCCCUCGAACACCUCAACAAAAUGGGGUCGUUGAACGCAAAAAUAGAUCUCUCCAAGAAAUGGCUAGAUCUAUGUUAAUUGAGGGGGAGUUGCCUAAAUAUUUUUGGGCCGAAGCCGUAAACACGGCUUGCUAUAUUAUGAAUCGUGUUCUAAUUCGACCAAUCCUUGAGAAAACUCCUUUCGAAUUAUGGCAUAAUAGAACUCCCAAUAUUGGUUACUUCAAAAUUUUUGGUUGUAAAUGUUUCAUUUUAAACACAAAAGACAAGUUGGGAAAGUUUGAUGCUAAAUCCGAUGAAGCUAUAUUCUUGGGUUAUUCCUCUACUAGUAAAGCUUAUCGAGUGUAUAAUCGACGAACUUUAAUAAUAGAGGAAAGUAUGCAUAUUCUUUUUGAAGAAUAUAAGGGAAAGGAUCUUUCUUAUGAAGAUGAUCUUCUUGACUUUGAGAAGCUAAAUAUAAACUCCACACCCCAAGAAGUUGAACCAUCUAAGAAAAGUGAGGAGUUAAUCUCUAAAGAGAUUGAACCCACUCCCUUACCUAAAGUGUGGAAAUUCGCCACUUAUCAUCCCAAGGACUCCAUCAUUGGAGAUCCAAGUCAAAAAGUCAAAACAAGAUCCUCUCUUAGAUUACUUUGUGACCACUUGGCUUUCAUAUCUCAAAUUGAACCUAAAAAUUUUGUUGAAGCUAGCAAUGAUGAAAAUUGGCUCAUUGCGAUGCAAGAAGAACUUAACCAAUUUGAGAGGAACCAAGUUUGGACGCUUGUGGAAAGGCCAAGUGAUCAUACCGUUAUUGGCACUAAAUGGGUCUUCCGAAACAAGCGAGAUGAAUCAGGUGUUGUGGUUCGAAACAAGGCUAGACUAGUGGCCCAAGGUUUCAACCAAAUUGAAGGAAUUGAUUUUGAUGAAACAUUUGCACCGGUUGCUAGACUUGAAGCUAUUCGAAUUCUUCUAGCAUUUGCCUCUUAUAUGAAUUUCAAAUUGUUUCAAAUGGAUGUAAAAAGUGCUUUCUUAAAUGGAUACAUUUCCGAAGAAGUUUAUGUUGAGCAACCACCCGGUUUUGAAAAACAUAACUUUCCGGAUCACGUUUUUAAGCUUUCAAAAGCACUUUACGGUUUAAAACAAGCUCCUAGAGCCUGGUAUGAAAGACUUAGCACUUUUCUUACUUCAAAUAAUUUUUAAAGAGGAAAAGUUGACACCACAUUAUUUAUCAAAAUUAAGGAUAAAGAUUUUCUUAUUGUACAAAUUUAUGUAGAUGAUAUUAUAUUUGGUGCUACUAAUGAAUCUCUUUGUAAAGAAUUUUCGAAACUAAUACAAAAUGAGUUUGAAAUGAGCAUGAUGGGCGAGCUCUCAUUCUUCCUUGAACUCCAAGUUAAACAAAUGAAAGAUGGAAUAUUCAUUGAUCAAGCCAAGUAUGCAAAAGACCUAAUCAAAAGAUUUGGCUUGAAAAGCUCAAAAGAGACACACUCCAAUAAGUACCUCAACUAAACUUGACAAGGAUGAAAAAGGCAAGGAUGUUGAUAUCAAACUCUACCGAGGUAUGAUUGGCAGCUUACUUUAUCUUACCGCGAGUAGGCCGGACAUUAUGUUCAGUGUUUGCUUAUGUGCUCGGUUUCAAGCUCAACCUAAGGAGUCACACUUAGUGGCUGUAAAGAGAAUUCUUAGAUAUGUUAAAGGGACUCUCAACUUAGGAUUAUGGUAUUCCAAGGGCAUCAAUUUUAAUCUCAUUGGCUUUUCGAAUGCCGACUUUGCCGGGUGCAAAGUUGAUCGGAAAAGUACGAGUGGGACUUGUCAAUUUUUUGGUCACUCCUUAGUUUCAUGGUCUUCGAAAAAGCAAAAUUCGGUUGCACUUUCAACCGCCGAAGUCGAGUAUAUUGCGGCGGGUUGUUGUUGUGCACAAGUUUUAUGGAUGAAACAAACCCUUGAGGACUUUGGAGUACAUCAAAAAGAAGUUCCAAUCAAAUGUGAUAAUACUGGUGCCAUCAACAUAUCUAGAAAUCCUAUUCAACAUUCUAGAACUAAACACAUUGAAAUUAGACAUCAUGUUAUUAGAGAUCAUAUUCAAAAAGAAGAUGUCACUAUAGAAUUUGUGGACACUCAUAAUCAAUUAGCAGACAUUUUUACUAAACCACUUAGUGAGGAUAGGUUCACUCAACUUAGAAGAGAAUUGGAAAUGAUUGAUUUAUCUGCUUGAUAUUCUCUUUUUAAUUGACUGUUAUUUUGUUUUUGCCUUGCAUUUUUUUUUGAAACACCUUUUGCCUUGUGAAAAUUCCGGACGAAAAUUUCCAGUCGCCCGAAAAUUUUCGGGCACCCGAAACAAACGUUGACCGCAAUGCCUCGUCUGACCGACCUAACGGGUUAACGGGUUUCGGAUCCGGGCGAUCGCUCGGUUCGCAUCUGCGCCCGAAAACCCGCUUUGACCGCCGCGCCGCUGUGACCGCCAUAGAGGGUUCCGGGUUGCGGAUCUGGGCGACCGCGUCGGCUCGCACACGCGCCCGAAACCCGCGAGCGGGCCCUCUUUGUCCCAGCCGCCCGACAGCCGUUCUCUUUCAUUUUUUUUUUCUUUUCUUCUUCUCCUUCCUCCUCCAAGUCCGGUCGCCCACUUCCUGCGCCCAGCCCGCAUCAGAUCCGCCCACAACUCCUCCAAAGCUCAGAUUUCCUCUCCUUCCUCUUCAAUCUGUGGUAUUUUUUUAAAAUUUUUUUUCUUUUCUUCUUCCUGCUGUUAAUCAUAUCCAUGUUCUUCCUCUUUUAAUUUUUUUUACAAAUUUCUUGUACUUUGUGCAACUUAAUCUUUUUCUCUACCUAGAUCUCCAUCAUUUCAUCCUAGAUCUUGCAUCUUGUUCCUUUUUUUUUGGCAUAAACCGUACCUUUUUAUUAUUAUUAUUAUUUAAAAAAACAAAAAAAUAACUAAAAAUGCAUCUAGAGGCUCUUCCUCACAUAGAGAUUAUCAAAAUGAAGAUUUUGAUGCUUUUAACUUUGUAUCUAGAGAAGCUCAAGAUAAAUUUCUUUUAGGUCGUCCCGUUCAAUCUUGCCGUAAUAUUCAUCAUCUAAAUUUUGAUUGUUAUGAACUUUUGGAUAAGCUCACACAAGUCGGAUGGGAUUUCUUUAUUCAAAAUUCGCGACCUUUUUAUCCGGACCUAAUUAGGACUUUUUAUGCAAAUGCCACUUUUAAUUCCGAAUUUACUACUAUUACUUCCCACUACCGGGGACGUGUUUUUGCUAUUACUCCUAUCCUUCUUCACACCGUUUUAAACAUUCCAAAUGACGGCGUUUGCUACUACCAAACCAACACUUGGAACUUUCCUGCAUUUUCUGAGGCGUAACUCCGCAAUCAUUUUCUUUGUGAAGAUUUUACUUCACGAGAAUAUUGCUCUCAUCUUUCCUUUCCUCACCGCCUCGCCCACUUUUUACUUACUAAAGUAAUUCUUCCUCGAGACAGUUACCACACCGCUGUUCAAAAAAUGGAUCUUUUUCUAUUUUAUCAUCUAUUUGCAGAAAUCCGGGUUAAUUUGGGGUAUAUCAUCAUUCACCACAUGGCCGUCGCCGCUUCUCAUCCCUCGCGCUCACUUCCAUAUGGCUCUUUGCUCACCGCCGUCCUCAAGUUCAUGUCAUUUGAUCUUUCCGACGUGAGGCCGAUGAAGUACCCCACCGCCAUUUCUACAGCUACUUUCUGCACACUUUGCUUCAAGAAAAAUCGUCAUGACAUUUGAGUAAGAAAGCAUAUAAUUGAUUCGCCCAGCGAGCAUAGUGAUGACGAUGCUGACGCCGGGGAUGAUCCUAUGCCGUAUGAGCCGCCACCUCGAGCGCCUUCUCCACCAGUUGAACCGCCACCACGAGCUUCUCCUCCACCCUUUCAGCCACCACCUGUUGUGCCUUCGCCUUAUACUCCUCCUCCUAUGGAUUUUCAAGACCAAGUUUUUAAUCGACUGGAUAGGAUGGAAGAACAUAUGCAUACUUUACAGAUAGAUGUUUCCGGCAUCAAGGCAUACAUGGACUAUCUUUGGACCUUCUAGUGCCUUUUAUGCCGCGUAUGGACCCCACGUUGAUCGACCAUCCUCCUCCACUAUGCCUCCACCAGUUUCGCCUACGGAUCAUGAGGACGAUGAAGAGAAUAACGAUAAUGAUGAUGAUUAGCUUAUAUUUCUACCACUUUUUGCUAGUCUCCUUUUUAUGCUUUUUUUGUGAUGACAAAGGGGGAGAACUUGCUAUGUGAUAUACUAUGUUAUGCUUGUGGUUUAUUAUGCUGCUUAUGUUUUAUUAUGCUAUGCUAUGUGAACCUCGUUUACAUUUUGAUAUUUGUCUACAUGAUUGCUUACUUUAUUAUGAUAUAUGCUAUGCCUAUGAUUAUGUUAUAUGCUUGUUAAAUAUAUGCAUAUAUUUAGGGGGAGUAUUCUACUCUUUUGCUCUCUACUCAUUUGGAUAUUAUAUCACAUUAUUUGUCAUCAUCAAAAAGGGGGAGAUUGUUGGCCUAGUGGCCCUAAUCUUCUAUUAGAUUUUGAUGAUAACAAAUAAUUACGAUUAUUGGACUAAUCUUUUAUCUUGAGUUUUGUGUUUUAGAUCUCUCUAUAUUCAAAAAGGAUUCAAGAUGGGCAAUAUUCUAGCACCAAGCUUCACCACUUGAAGCUAUGCUUGCUUCCUUUGUCAAAUAGACAAACUCAUUCUCUCUUUUUUUAAUUUCAUUAAUAUUAUGCUUAGAGUGAGAAAUUCUGAGCUAAGUUUAAACUAUUCAUUUUUAUCACCUUUUGGAUCACUUAAACAAAUUUCUAACUUGUGAUUAGGUGCAUAGAAUUUUAAAAUAUUCAAAAAAACUGCUCAAGUUUUGUGUUCUGUCAAGUUACGAUUUCUGGACCCUGUUCUGGGCGCCCUAAAGUGGAUCUGAAUCUUUUGAGACUUUUUGGAUCCUGCCUGUUUGCUGUUCGGGUGAUCCAGAAACCUCUUUAUCUUAUCUGGGCACCAUUACUUCAAAUUAGGGCAACCGAGGCUAUUUGACUUGACAGGUUGCAUAUCAGCCCAAAAAGUUCUGACAGCAGGCGGCGCGCAAUCUGGGCGCCCAGAUCUUAUGGAAGCCCAAAAAUGAUUUUGGUCAGAGAAAGCGGCGCACGCAAUCUGGGCUGUCUGGCAAGAAAGUCAGCACGAGUUUUUGGGCGCCCACAACUUUUGACGGUUCGAAUCUAGAGAAAAACGACGCAUGUCAGAAAAGUUGUCCCUCGAGAUCUGGGCGCCCACAAUUUCUGACAGCCCAAAUCCAAAGGCGCACGGCGCAUGUCAGAAAAGUUGUCCCUCGAGAUCUGGGCACCCAUAAUUUCUGACAGCCCAAAUCCAAAGGAAGCGGCGCGUGUCAGAAAAGUUGUUCCUCGUGUUCUGGGCGCCCACAACUUUUGACGGAUCAAACAUACAAAGUCAAGAAAAGCGGCGCACGUGGUCCGACAGGCAGCUGGCGUGCACAACUUCUGGGCGCCCGGAAACAGGUUUAGGGUGCCCGAAAGUACAACGGACAAAAACUGCCCGAGGCUAUAAAUAGAUGGUAUUGAGGCCUUUCUCAGCAGCAACUUGAUAGUUCAUUUGAGCUUAAAAACUUCAGUGAUCUUAAUACUCUUAGCUCUCAAUUCUCUCUCUAAACUUGAGUGAAAUUUGUAGUAAGAUUUAAUCUCGUAAAAAGAAAGAAAAGCAAAGUCUUGAAGCUUGAAAGAAGAAGGUGUUGGUGUGAAGGCUUGGUGCUUGCCCGCAAAAGCAUCAUCUAGUAGAGAUCCAACAUUCUCUAGUGUUGAGAAGUUAGCGGGGACGUAGGCAAAGUGCCGAACCUCGAAACAAAUUGAUCGUGCGCUUUUUGAGUUUGCAUUUCCUUAAACUCCUCACUUUAUUAUUUGUUUCGGGUUUUUAAAUUGUUUGAUUAUUUGGCUUUUUAUUUUAGAAACCUAAUUCACCCCCCUCUUAGGUUGCCAUUUUGAUCCUCACAAAGGACUAUCACGGUAAUAAGUCAAAACAUUAAUCUGUAAUCUUCAGGUCCUUUCUUCAUUUCCUUUUCCAAAAUAUGGCAUUGCACAUAUCAACAACUUUUAUUUUCCCAAAAAUCACUUGACCAUGAGCCAAAUGUUGGAGAUUUGGCUAUGGGAAUCAAAAGAGGUGAUAAACAGCUGGUGCAACGGACACGGACACAGAACACAAUACAAAUCAGACAAGGUGAGUCAACAGCUUCAAAAUUUAGAGCACAAACACGACAUAGACACCGCUAAAACAAUAUAAUAUAUUAUUAUGAUAAUAUAUAUUUAUUAUAUGAUAAAUUAUUAAAAUAUUAAUUUUGCUAAGAUAUUCAUCGUAUGAAUGAAAGGUAAUAAAAUUCUCAUUGAUAGUUCAUAUAUUUUAAUAAAAGAAAUUCUCCAACACACAAUUAUUUAUAUCGUCCGAAGAAAGUUCGUGUGCGUUCAUCAAAAAAUCAAAAUAUUUGUCAUCUUACAUUAUAUAUGCAUAAACAAAAGAAAAUUCAUUUUUUUUAAUAUGAUGCACCAUGGAUGUUUGAUCACGUGCGUCUAUGAAGCACAAAUACUUCAAAUUUCAUGCCAUACUCGUAUCGGACACAUAUCGGAUACCGAUAUGCGCCCGAUAUGCACCUGAUACGUGUCCGAUGCAGCAAUAAAGUAUCUAGCAUUUUUAAAAAAUAAAAAAAAUAUCUUAUACAGCUCGGAUAGGGGAGGGAUUCGAGAGGGAUACGAGGGGGAUACAGCCUGAUUCUUUUAUGGUCUAAAAUGAUCAGAGCUCAAAAUUUUGUGAAAAGCCCGCAUCCAAACCCAUUGGAAAUAAGAAAAAGAGUGAAAAAAAUGUCAAUCUCUCUUCAAUUUGUUAUUUUUUCUAUCUUUUUGCUCUUGAAUGGUUGAAGGCGCUCUCUCUCUUUCUAUUUUCACAUAGUAUUAAGCUAUGAUUCAGUCCUUUACCACGUUUCUUCCACUUCUUUUCAUCUAACUUGUUAAUCUAGAACUAAUCAACAAAGGCUAUAGGGAAUGAUUUUUUUUUUCUUUUAUUAAAUUGUUAGCAUAUUUUCUUUUAUUACUAUUUUAUAUAAUAGAACAUAAUAAAACAAACAUAUAUGUUGAAUGGCUUAUUAUCUAAUUUGUGUGACUAAAUAUCUAUUAUCAUUUGAUCAAGUUGGAUGAUAGUUGGUUGAUACAUUUUGAAUAUUAUUUCAUUGAUUAUCUUUUUUUAUGAACAGAUGUAAAACAAUUAUACAAGUUAAUAUAUAUCAGAAUAUAUUCCUAAUAUAAUCCAGAUAUCAUGAUUGUCCUCAAUAUACCAUUACAUAAAAUAUUUUAUUCAAGUAUACACCGCGUAUUGUAUCCUAGAAGUUUUAGAAAUUGCCGUAUCACCAUAUCUGUAUCGUGUUGUAUCCGUAUCUGUGCAACAUAGACGUGCGUCCAUGGCAUGUCCACAUCGGAGACGAGUCUGGCACGGAUACCCGAGGCUUACAACUAUAUAUAGAUAAACAGUCAAAUAAAUGCCAAUAAAAUUUGGUUCACCGCGUUAUCAUGAAAUUGUAUAUUCCUAUGUCUAUUCCCUUCCCAAUAGCAAUAUUGUUUCCAACUCUAAUUAAAGUGUUGAACAAAAGUUGUUUGCGACAAACAAAGGCCAAAAAUUUUCCUAUUCCAACCUUCUGAUCACACCAAGAUAACCUUAUGGACAACAUUAUAAGAAAACUUGGAGGCAUGGGUAAGAUAGUAAAAUAGUUUCAAUAUAUUACCCCAACGUUAUUGUAAUCCCAUAGCUUGUGAACACCAUAGUCCACCAUCUGCAUAACAACAAUGUCAGUUUAAGUACAAAGCAUGCAAAACAAUACCAUAUAACUAACACAAAAUUGCAAACAAAAGGAUAAGAAAAUCGCAAAGCCACAUAUUUCAACUUAUUAUAAAAAACCACAUAAACAUUAACGAUUUUCGAACAGAAAGGAACCAUUAUUUACUAUUUGCAAAUCCCACCACCCUUACCCUGUUACUCUGUAACAAAUGUAAAAGAACUUGAAAAAAGUGAUUCCUCCUCAUUGCAGAAAGAGUCCAAAAGGUAGCAAAGUAUGGAGACACCAGAACUGCAGUCCAUUUUGAAGGUAGAAGAAAAGUAUGGAGACACCUGAACUGCAGUCCAUUUUGAAACACAGAAUCCAACUUUACAUUUUUUAAAAAAAAAAAUUUACAUCCCCAUCAACUUUUAAUUGUUUUAAUUUGAGUUAUUUUCCAAAGUUCAAUUGGGAAUUCAUGGAAAUUAAUGGCUCUCUUAGCCAGCAGCCAUUAACAAUUAAUCCUGCAACUGAAAAAUGCUCAGAAUAGAUAAAUUUUACAGAAUCGCAAUUAGAUUUCACAAAAGACCCUUAUUAAUUCAUGAAAAUUGAUGAGAUGUCAACUGAAACAAAAAUAGAUCAUGGGUUUGUUUCAAAAUUGCCUAUAGUUUCGGAUUUCCCUGUACAUUUAAAUAUACUCUAAACUAAACCCACAGAGAAGGAAUAAGAGUUGUAUUCUCAAUUAAAACAAACCAAAUGACAACAUGUUCGAAUUUUAAGAACAGUAAAAACGAGAACCAAUUAAUUGGCACAAAGAUCAGAGAUUAGAACCAGCUGACGAUGAUCGAAAGAAGUGUAUAGUGUACGAAUCCGAGCAAAGAGAAACCCUAAAGGCGAUCAAAUAAGCAUCAGAGAUGUAUAAGAGAGAGAGAGAGAGAGAGAGGACCCGUUCGCCGAUGAAGGCUCCGGCGACGACGAAGGUGACGUAGACGGAGUUGCGGCGCAUGAGGACGCGGUAAAGCCCGUCCCAAAGGCCUCCGCCACCGCCGCCUCGCCUCGCCGCCGCCGCCGAAUCCAUCGUCUUAAUCUUCCCCGCGCGCUAGGGUUUGGUCUAGGGUUUCGGCGCUAGGGUUUCUUCGUCUUCGACCGCUUCGAGGAAGGGAAAAAGUGGCUCGGAGUGCUGUUUACAGGCUACAGACUACAGCGGCGGAGCCUUUUUAUGCGGAAGCUCCUAAACAUUUAGUUAUUUGUGUUUGGUCCCUCGUUCCUUCACCCCUCAUCGACCCUGUGGCUGCUUGAAGCGAAAAUUUUGAGCAAAAUUUUAAAUUGGAAUUAACACGAGCCGAGUCUGAUCCAGUCAAAUCUGAGCUCGAGUCCUAAGCGAAAGCUCAAUAAUUCUAUUGCAAUUUAUAUUUUCAAAAUUUAGGUUAAACUAUAAAAAUUUUCUCCCCAUUUUGUCUCACGUCUCAAUUAACUCUUGCAUAAGAUUUUGUUUUAAUUUAAAGAGAGAGAAAUACUUCUAGAAGUAAAUGCUCCAUGUAAGAUUUUUUUUGUCAUUUACGUGCAACCAAGAAAAUAUUAUUGGCUCCCUUCAUGUGGCCAUUUCACACGAUACAACUACCCAAUCAAUCCCAACUUGUCGCUCGUGUGCAUAGUGCUCCUACUAUGGGCAUGUUUAUUUCAACGUAAUUAGACUUAGGGUGGAAGUGGACUUUGGGUUGAAAUGGAGUUUAAAUAAAAAUUAAUUCAUUUUCGCUGUUUGUUUCUAACUGUGGAAAUGCAGUUCUGUGGGUUCUGUUGUUUGUUUGGUAGGAAAUAGAUGACGUAAAAAGUGUAGCUCUCCAUCCCUGGUAUACUUACCUCCGAAGUGAUAUUAUUGUCUAUUUUGUAACUUAGUGAAUAAUAAAUUAUAAUAAAUAAAAAUUAAUAUAAUUAUAUAUGUAUAUAAUUAUAUAUAUUUAUAAUUGUAAAAUAAAAUUUUAAAAAACUAUAUUAUUUGUUUGCAUAUAAAUUAUAAUAAUGCAACAAAUAAAAUUCUAAAGUUAAAAAAUUAUUAACAUUUAACAAAUUCAUUUUUCAUCAUUUUCUAAAUAUACAAAUUAGACAAAAAAUAUAUUAAAACUUACCUAACCAAAUUUGAUCACAUUGCCUAACCAAAUUUAACAAGCUCCUUUGCCUCUUUGCACUUCACCGGAAUUGACUUCGCCCCCUGGAAGGGCGAAGUCAAUUACCUUAUUUUGGGUGAACUCGACUUUCGGCCGUAAUAAAAUUAUGGCAAAACAAACAACGGAAGUAAUAGUUUACGGCGUAAACAACUUCCCCCCUCUCCACUUCCCCCUCACUUUCACCCAAACAAACACACCCUUAAUAGUAAACCAUGUUCAAGGAAAAUGGACGACCUACGAACCAUUUGCGCUAAUACCAACAUCUACCUUCCAAGUCAUGACUAGUAUGCUGCAUUAUCUAUACCUAUCGGCCGAGGUCACUCGACUACUAAUGCUACCUUCUUCAGGUUUGUAACAUACCGAAACCUCGGUAAUUAAAUUAGAACCUUGGUCAAAUUAACCAAAGUGCGAGGUUGGUACACUUCGGAGAGGCCGAAAGCGUCAAAUAAUGCCAAAAUGCAUUACUGGGGAUCUUCGAGAGCUUUUGGAAAUCAAAAUCUGCAAACUGCAGGUUUUGUACUCUCGGGGACCGGUCCCUGGUGGGAGAGACCGGUCCCCGAACGCGUAGGCAGCGAGGGAGGCUGAGAAAUCGACUAAGUCCUGGAAAACCAACUCUCGGGAACCGGUCCCUGCGAAGAGAGACCGGUUCCAUUGAGGGAGACCGGUUGCAUCGCGCGCAGCCUGCGCAGUCCGCGGGAGAAGCUCUUGAGGACCGGUCCCAGGUCGGGGAGACCGGUCCCUGACUGCGAAAAAUGCCCAGUCUGGGCAGUGCAUUGGAGAUAAAGUGCGAGGACUUAAAUGCAAUUGUCACAACACCUUAUAUGGCCCAAUCCUUUCCCCCUUUUCUCUCUUUUGUCUUUCUAGAGAGCUAACCCUAGAGCUUGGAGAAGAAGAAGGAGAGGCUUGGAGGAGGAUCCUUGAUGGAUUUGGUGGGUCUAGAAGCUCUCCAAUAAGAAGAAGCUUGCUAGGACUUCGACUAGAGAUAAGUUCUUGUAGGAUUUCAUCAUGGGUUUGGAUUUAAACCCUAAGUUUUGGAGUUUUGCGCUUCUUAGAGGUUUUAGAAGCAUGAUAGAGCCAUGAACACCAUGAAACCCUAAUUUUCUUCAUGGUGCUCUAAUGGGGGAUUUCUAGGGUUUGCAUUCUAAGCCCUAAAGAUGGUUGGGAUGGUUCUAAAUGAGUUUUUAGAGAUUAGACAAGCUCUCUUUUGCUUGUUUUAGAGAUCAAAACCUAGGGUUUAUCAAUGGGUUUGGUUAGGGCACCAAAUUUGGGGCUUUUGCCUCCGAGUAUUUCUAUGGCAAAUUGACUUUGUAGAAACCUAAUUGGGGGUGUCCUCGACGCGUUGGACAACUCGUUGGACAACUCCGUUCGACGUUACGAAAAUGUUUAAGUAUGGUUCAUGUACAAAAGGCCUAAUAUGGCACUAUUUUGGUAAUAGCACGUGGAAUCGGCUUUCGUAAAGUUCGGAAGUCGUCAUAUUCUACACCUACACGACUACUCAAGAUGGGUGGUGCAUUCCAAAGACCUCGAAAAUUUCUUUAUGUCUAAACUGUCAUGUUUGAACAUAUAUGUAUAUAUAUUGAGCAUGUUGCAUAGUAGGGUUAAUUUUGAGCUUUUAUGGUAUAAUUGUGAAUUUAAUUUCGUAUGAAAUACUUGUAAGAAUGUGAGAAUUGUAACCCUAUUUAUGCAUGACAAGUGACAAGAACCUAGAAGGGUUAGUGAACAAAAGUGACACAUGGACAUAGAUCUAGUGAGUGACAUUGAUGAGUCUCGAAAACUUAGAAAACAAGUGUGGCAUGAGUCAAGAACAUAACACUUAGAAAACAAGUGUGGCAUGAGUCCAAGAAUAUAGUAGUGUAUAUGACACAAGUAAGGAUAAAGAAUGCAAAGAAAAGAAUGAUUGAGAUAUUAUGACGUUUCAAUCUUAGAGUUAAGGGUCAUUUGAGCAUGGUCUUCCUUAAAGUUAAGGAAUGGAUUGAACUUGGAAUCCUCAAUGUAGGAUUGAUCGUACUCACCUUUAGUCCUUGCUCGAGGGUGGUAGCUCCCCCUCGGGCGAUGUGCUCCGGAGUUGGCAUCACUGGGUUGUAGCGGGUAUCUCCCUAGAGGACGGUCCUAUCGGGUUGUAGCGGGUAUCUCCGCGGUUAUUAGGAUUUUGGGUUGGUGAAUUUGUUGAGGGCGAAACCUACGGGUUAGCCAAGAGAUUGGGUAAAGAAAUUGUGAUCCUGCAUUCAUCAUGAGCAUUAUAUCGAGCAUUGCAUUUUAUAUUGUUCAGGCAUAUUAGUUGUAUUUUUUUUUUUUUUUUGAGAAAUAGGUAGCAAGCUACCUGCUUCAUUCAUUAAGCAAAAUGAACUAAGCGUACAAAAUGGAAACAGCCAGGGCCUCCGAAAGAACAGGCAAAAAAGGAUGAAAUAAAAUUGAAAGGCAGAAAGAAAACAAAAAGAACGAAAAGAGGAGGGGUGUUAAUAGGGAUAGUAGCUGGAGCCGAAACGACACAUCACAGCAAAGAGAUCCAGUCGUUUAGCAGAAGUUUGACACGUUCAAGAGACCGGGUAGCGUUGUGCGUGGUUCCUCGGAAAAUUGCGUUAUUUCUAUCUGUCCAGAUCACCCACCAAGUCGUAGCGAGGAGGGUCAAGCGUCGUGUUCUUGAAGAGUCGACCGGAAUGUCACACGAUCCAGUCCAGAGAGUGUUGACGUCGCCCGUGCUGUCAUCAAAUGUACCCCAUCCUUCCAUACUGAAGAGCAGGUAUCUUACAUAUACGCAUGUAUAGAAUAGAUGGUCACAGCUUUCCAUGAGUACCGCACAGAAGACACAGUGUUGAUCAACGAGCAUUCCGCGUUUGAGUAGUCUAUCAGCAGUGAGUAAUCUCUUCCGCAAUAGCAACCAAAUGAAGACUUUGAUUUUGGCCGGAAUUUUGAGUUUCCAAAUAUACCGAUUCGUUGGGAUAUACUGUCCCGUGUCUGUGAUGAACUGGUAGAGGGAUUUGACAGUGAAUAGUUGAUUGGAGGUCCAUCUCCAUUUAAUUGAGUCUGGACUGUCGUAGGGGCGAUGGCCUCGGAGCAAGUCUUUAAAAGUCGUUAAUUGUCUCCGAUUUUCGAUGGAUUGUGACGCCGAGUAGCCGCGGCAUAUAAAGCGCCAUCUCCAUCCGCCAUGAUUCCAGCACUGGGAAACACGAGCCUCCUUGUUCAUAGAGAUCUGAUAGAUAUCCGGGAAACGAGUACGAAGGGGGGUUUCCCCUAUCCAGAUGUCGUUCCACAUCCUAAUGUUCCUCCCGUCGCCUAGCUCGUAAGUCACGCCACAGGCGAAAAUGUCUCGACACCGGACCACACCUUUCCACCACUCCGAAUGGGGAGCAAAUGCUCUGCCCUCGAGUAAUGGCCUUCUUCGGGUGUAGUAAAGGGAUCUGACUAAUCUACACCAGAGUAGGUUUGGGUCAAAAAAGAAGCGCCACCACCAUUUGGUUAAAAGAGCGAAAUUCAUGCAUUCCAUGUCAAGAAUGCCUAAUCCUCCGUCCAUCUUGCUUCUACAGAUAGAUUUCCAAUUGACGAGACAUGCCCCACCGGUAACUUUUGAGCCUCCUUUCCAGAAGAAGGCUCUUCUGAGUCCUUCUAUCCGGUGCAAUACCCAUUGUGGUGCUUUGAAGAUCGAGAAUAGAAAAGCGGUAGGUUGGUGAGUACUGAAUUGACCAAGGUUAGUCUACCCCCCAGGGAGAGGAGUUUAGUUUUCCAGCCGUCGAUUUUGUGCUCUAUGCGGUUGAUUACCACAGACCAGUGCUCCUUUCGAAGUUUAGAGUUGUGGAGGGGUAGUCCCAGGUAGCGAAAAGGUAGCUUACCGACUUUGCAUCGUAAGAUGUUGGCAAGUCUAACAGCUUUAUGAGGGUUGGAACUCAAGUAGUAUAGUUCCGAUUUUCCCAUGUUGAUCCUGAGGCCGGAGGCCCAUUCAAAGAUAUUCCAGAGAAACAGCAGAUUAUGCAUAAAACGUUUCCUAGGCUCACAAAAGAAGAUUGUGUCAUCAGCGUAUUGGAUGAGCACUGUCUGGCAAUUGUCGGAAGGUCCAAUACCGUGAAUCAUAUUGCUCCCCCGCGCAGUAUCGAUCAGCCUGGCCAGACAAUCAGCCACCAAUAAGAAAAGGUACGGGGAUAGGGGGUCUCCCUGUCUAAGGCCUUUUCUAGCUUUCAACCACGGGGUUGGGACGUCGUUCACUAGGAUGGCGACUUUGGCGUUGCAUAUACAUUGUUCCAUCCAGGCCCACCAUUUGGCGCUGAAACCUAGCCAGUGCAAUAUACUCUUUAGGAACGCCCAUCUGACACUGUCGAAUGCUUUCUCGAAGUCAACCUUAAUGCUUACACAUUCCGUCUGAGUUUUCGAGCACCAGUUUAUUAAUUCGCUUGCAGUGACGAACGAGUCGACCAAAAGACGGUCUUUGAGAAAGGCCGAUUGGGUUGGAGAGAUGAUGGAAGGUAAUACAGCGGCCAGUCUGUUGGCCAGCACUUUAGAGAUGAUUUUCUGUAUUCCGUUAAUGAGGCUAAUAGGUCGAAAGUCGUUGACCUUGCGUGCUCCCUCCUUUUUUGGGAUGAGGCACACGUAGGAGUAGUCUGUCGGUCCCGUGAAAAGUGUCUCGUCGUGGAGAUCGAUAAAGACCUUGAAGAUAUCGUCCUUGACCACAUCCCAAAAGGUUUGGAAGAAGUUUAGAGAGAAGCCGUCUGGCCCAGGCGCCUUGUCAGUACCAAGUUGGAAAGUAGCAGUCUUGAUUUCGUCGAGGGUGAACGGAACCGUUAAGGUGUCAGGAUUUAGUAAUCUGUUAGCGUGGUAGAGGCCACUCCAGUUUCCGAACGAUGAUGAGCCCACCUCUGGGUUCCCGAACAAACGCUUAAAAGAUUUAAAGAAGUGGGUCUCUUAAGCUCUUCGUUGGAAAUAAGUUGGCCGGCGUCAUCCUCUAUUACAUCGAUCACAUUGGAGCAUUUUCGCCCGUUAGCGACCGCGUGAAAAAAUUUGGUAUUACAGUCGCCUUCCUUUAACCAGAGCUGUUUGGCCCUAGUCUUCCAAAGAAUUUCUUCCUCCUCCAAGAUUUGUCGUAAUUGAGUCUUGAGCUCAGUUCGUUUGUCUAAGAGUUCCUGAGGUAAGUCUUGUAAUUCCUCGAGGUGAUCAAUAGUUUGUAGUUCCGAUUGUAGGUGCUUUUUGGUAUUGGAAAUACUGUGGAAGUGCGUCUUGCACCACUCCUUCAUUCGGACUCUACAGUGCCGAAGCUUAGCUGUGAUAGUGAGAAUAGCUGAAUUCCUGUGGGCUAUUUCAUUCCACCAAAACGGUACUUUAGAGUGAAAAUCCUCCUUGGUGAGCCAGACUCUCUCAAAACGAAAUCUCCUUGAAGCUGGGGGUAUUCCCGAGGUAAGAAGAAUUGGAGUAUGGUCCGAGGUGAUCCUGGGGGAGAGCUUUGACCUUGCAGAAUGGAAAAGAUUGAUCCCAUUCCGUUGAGAUGAGGAAUCUGUCGAGCUUGGCCAAGGUAGGCUUGCAUUGCAUAUUCGACCAGGUGAAAUUUUGGUUAGACAAGGGUAAGUCGAUGAGUGCAAGGCAAUUAAUAAGGUCCGAGAACAUAUCCAUUGCUUUAGAGCUCCAAGGGUUUCCUUUUCUUUCGGAUUGAUAUCUUGUGAAGUUGAAGUCACCGCAGAUUACCCAAUUGGAUGAGCAGGUAGAGCUGAGGGAGAGAAGUUCAGAGCAAAACUCAUCUUUGCCAUCCCAAUAUUAGUUGUAUUUAUUAGUUGGUUCUUUUACUUUCUUUCCUUUAUUCUAUUAUGUCUGAUUAGACUUAGUGGGAUAGUCGGCGUGGUUGGUUGUCGAACCCAUUGGAAACUUUGUUGUAGUUCUCACACUCCUAUUUCCACAGAGUCGGGACCGAGCGAGCCAGCGGAUGAUCGCGGUAAGGGCAUCGCGCCCUAGAUAGUGACCGCCCGUGAUGGGUUCAUAUUUUGUAGUUGCAUUCCCUUUAUUAUCAUCUUUUGUAUUUGAUGAUUAUAUAUGUUAAAGGAAAACAGAACAUGAAUGAUGUAAAAGAGUUUAUGUUUAAAUGCAAGAAUUUAUAUUUGAGAACAUGCGAUGUAAAAGAGAAGAAAUGAUGCAAAAUUAUAAUUGAUUUCCUAAGUGUAGUUUAUUACUUUCACUAUUGGCUAUUGCUUGCCCUCGUGCAAGCCAUUGUGUAUACUUCCGCUUAUGCAAAUUGUUACUCUAUUGAUACUUGUUGUUGAGCCUUGGGCGGGCAGGGGAGGCUCUGUCCGUUCGGCGUCUGUUCGACGCUCUCGAACCGGCCAAAAGGAUCUGGCUCGGGUGUGACAAGGUCCACCGCAACUGAGUCACGAUGUAGCGCCGAAAAGACACCUCGCGGAGUCAGAACUCGCACUUUUUGAGCUUGGCAUAAAGCUUGUUCUCCCGCAGAGUCAGGAGAACCCGUUGCAGAUGAUCCUCGUGCUUUUCGUCGCUUUAUAAAUUGAUCAAUAUGUCAUCAAUUAAGACCACGACACGCUGAUUCAGAAAUAGCCGGAAGACUCUGUUCAUUAUGUCCAUAAACGCUGUCAAGGCGUUAGUAAGCCCGUAUCACUGUGAACUCGUAAUAGCUGUAACGAGUCCGAAAAGCGAUAUUCACCACAUUCUCAGCCCGAAUCUUAAACUGGUGGUAUCCAGACUGCAAAUUGAUUUUCGAGUAGACCGAUGAUCCUUGGAGUUGGUCGAAGAGAUCAUCGAUCCGAGAAAGGGGAUGUUUAUUCUUCACCAUGACCUUAUUGAGUUUCCGGUAGUCGAUGCAUAGUCACAAGCUACCGUCCUUCUUUUUAACGAAAAGGACUGAUGCUGUGAUAUAUGGGACCUUAGCAAAUAAGUAAGGUUACAAUAUGAACUUUUAAUUAGUUUUUUCUUUUAUAGUACUUAAUGGAGUUGGAGACGUUAUGGCGUGAAAUAGACACAAAAACGAACUCAAAAACUCAAGAUUUAAUUUGUGAAAGACUAAAUUCGAAAUAUUUGAUAUUUCAGGGAACUGUUGGUAUUUUUGCUAUUAUUAUGCAUGGAGUCCACGUAGGCAAUUGAGGCUUCAUACUUAUCCACUUUAUUCCUUCACCUUGAAGAAUUAAGAUAGAUGGAAUUUGAGCUUGAAGAAAAACAAAAAGAAAGCUUGGUUUCGUUCUAGCGAGCGAGCGAGUCGAGCUCGCGCACAUGAACUUUUUGGUGUUUUGACGUUGCGGUUAGUAUCACAAUAUUAUUAUUUCUCGUUUGAACUCUUUUGAUAAUUUUUUUUGUAGAAAUUGAGAAUUAGAAACUGAAUUUUUUUUAUAUUUUAAGAGCGGAUUUUGCAUAAUUUUGACGAAGGGCUUUCAAGUUAUUUUAAAGUAUUGUAGCUGUUAUCCCAUUUACCAAUCAUUUCCUCGGACUUGCGUUAUAGGUAGGUUCCGUGUUGUCAAAAUUGACGGAUUAAUUUUUCUGUCCAUAUUAUAUUAUUUAGCCUGUGAGAUGAACUGUUGACAUAGUUGAGAUAAUAAUGAUAUUUUGAUACCAAUCAGUAGAGUAAAUUGAGACAUAUAUAUAUAUAUAUAUAUAUAUAUAUAUAUAUAUAUAUAUAUAUAUAUAUAUAUAUAUAUAUAUAUAUAUAUGUAAAUAUAUAUAUAUAUAGAGNNNNNNNNNNACAGCAAGUAUGAUCAUAUCCUUAACUCAAAGGAUUAUAGUUCAAUCUUGACUUUACACUAGCUCUAGUGUUCUUUACAUCACUUUAUGUUGCAAACUCAUGCAAUCACAUUCUUUACAUUUUUAUUACUCUUGCUAACUCUAGCAAUCAUUGUUCUUUGCAUUUCUUUUACUUUAACUUUAUACGUUGUCACCUUCUUCAUUCUUUACAUCACUUUAGUUCUUUACAUCACACUAACUCUAGUGUCAUUUCACAUUAGCUUUAUCAAAUGCCACUCGAUCUAUGUCAUUGUGCCACUCUGUUCUUUUACUCACUUUGGGUACUCACAUCUUCUCUCAUGCAUACAUCUAGGGUUUUGACAUUAUUAGGUUCUCAACCCUCUCAUUAUGCAAGUUGUGCUCACAAUCAUGCAAUCAUCACAUUUCAUCAUUACUUUACCCUAAAAUGCAUGCAACAAUAUAUAGAACACAUGCUCAAAGAAUGACACAUUAGGCAUAGAGAGAAUUUCAAUGAGUUUGAGAAGCACCACCCACCUCGUAGGCUUUCAAAGGUGCUCCGACGAUUUUCUUGGGACUUUUAGACGCUUCGUUCUUUACCUGCGGCAAAGCGAACCCUUAUUAGGCCAUUUUGCCCAUAACUUUACUUUGACUUUUCGUAACGUUAAUCCGAACGCACCAACGCGUCGGAAAUACCCCCAAUUAGGUUUCUAGAGGGUCAAUUGCACUUAGCAAUCCUCAUGAGCAAAAGCCCCAAUUUGGUGCCCUAGCUCCAAUACACAUAUCAAAACCUAGGGUUUAAUCUCUAAGAGAAGCAAAAGUAGCUUCAUUAUACUCUAAAAAGUUCAUUAGAACCAUCUUUAGACAAAUCAAAACCCUACUUAGGGUUUCACCAUGAGAGGUGAUGAAGCUCACCUCAAGCUUCACCAUUUCUAUGGUCUUGAUCUCAAGAGAAGCAAAAGAAAAGCUCCAAAUACUCAAAUGGUUUCAUAAAACCCAUUUUAAGCUUAAUCCAAACCCUGGAUUAGGUUCUACCAUGAUUAGGGUUCAAAUCUUACUUGUAAGCCCUUCUUUUAAGUAGAGAUGAAGGGGAAGGAGUUCUUCACUUCUUCUUCUUCUCUUCACUUCUUCUCUUUCUUUUCCUUUUCUUCUUCCUUUUCUUUCUCCUCUUUUGUCUUCUAGAGAGAGAGAGGGAGAGAAGAGAGUGUGAGAGGUGGAAUGAGAGAAAUGUCUCAUUUACCCUAUACUAUACUCAGAUGGGUUGGCAAAAUUGCAUUAAACCCUCAACUUUACUUUAAUUACACUGCCCGAACUGGGCAGUUCGCGCAGGCAGAGACGCGUCUCCCGAGCAGCGCGGUCCGAACGUCCACUCUGCGCAGCCAGAGUGCUGCGCGCGAUGCGACCGGUCUCCCCCGCAUGGGACGGUCCUGGGGGGACCGGUCUCUCAGGCAGAGACCGGUUCCGAGAGCUAUCCUUCCAGGACUUAGCCGAUUUUUUUUCGCGCUGUCAUCAUCUUCUGCACUCCGGCGUUCGGGGACCGGUCUCUCCCACCAGGGACCGGUCCCCGAGAGCUCAAAACCUGCAGUUUUGCAGAAUUUGAUUCUUUAGCUCUCGAAAACCUUCCACAGCUCACUUUUGAUCACUUUAACACCUUCGGACUUUCCGAGGUGUUCCAUCCUCGCACUUUGGUCAAUUUGACUAAAGUUCGACAUUUUUAUUUUCCGAAUUCUCGGUAUAUUACACUUUAUAAAUUGAUCAAUAUGUCAUCAAUUAAGACCACGACACGCUGAUUCAGAAAUAGCCGGAAGACUCUGUUCAUUAUGUCCAUAAACGCUGUCAAGGCGUUAGUAAGCCCGUAUCACUGUGAACUCGUAAUAGCUGUAACGAGUCCGAAAAGCGAUAUUCACCACAUUCUCAGCCCGAAUCUUAAACUGGUGGUAUCCAGACUGCAAAUUGAUUUUCGAGUAGACCGAUGAUCCUUGGAGUUGGUCGAAGAGAUCAUCGAUCCGAGAAAGGGGAUGUUUAUUCUUCACCAUGACCUUAUUGAGUUUCCGGUAGUCGAUGCAUAGUCACAAGCUACCGUCCUUCUUUUUAACGAAAAGGACUGAUGUUGUGAUAUAUGGGACCUUAGCAAAUAAGUAAGGUUACAAUAUGAACUUUUAAUUAGUUUUUUCUUUUAUAGUACUUAAUGGAGUUGGAGACGUUAUGGCGUGAAAUAGACACAAAAACGAACUCAAAAACUCAAGAUUUAAUUUGUGAAAGACUAAAUUUGAAAUAUUUGAUAUUUCAGGGAACUGUUGGUAUUUUUGCUAUUAUUAUGCAUGGAGUCCACGUAGGCAAUUGAGGCUUCAUACUUAUCCACUUUAUUCCUUCACCUUGAAGAAUUAAGAUAGAUGGAAUUUGAGCUUGAAGAAAAACAAAAAGAAAGCUUGGUUUCGUUCUAGCGAGCGAGCGAGUCGAGCUCGCGCACAUGAACUUUUUGGUGUUUUGACGUUGCGGUUAGUAUCACAAUAUUAUUAUUUCUCGUUUGAACUCUUUUGAUAAUUUUUUUUGUAGAAAUUGAGAAUUAGAAACUGAAUUUUUUUUAUAUUUUAAGAGCGGAUUUUGCAUAAUUUUGACGAAGGGCUUUCAAGUUAUUUUAAAGUAUUGUAGCUGUUAUCCCAUUUACCAAUCAUUUCCUCGGACUUGCGUUAUAGGUAGGUUCCGUGUUGUCAAAAUUGACGGAUUAAUUUUUCUGUCCAUAUUAUAUUAUUUAGCCUGUGAGAUGAACUGUUGACAUAGUUGAGAUAAUAAUGAUAUUUUGAUACCAAUCAGUAGAGUAAAUUGAGACAUAUAUAUAUAUAUAUAUAUAUAUAUAUAUAUAUAUAUAUAUAUAUAUAUAUAUAUAUGUGUGUGUGUGUGUGUGUGUGUGUGUGUGUGUGUGUGUGUGUGUGUGUGUCAAUAAUCAGAUACAGAUAGUGUGAGACUAUAGUUGUAUUUUAGACACUAUGACAGUAUUAUCAUGAUCUAUUUAAGCAUCGCAUUUGACCACAGCCUGUAUGUUAUGUUGAGUUUGACAGUGAUACUAUAUUUAAUUGGGGUAACACUCCGCGAGUGCUGCUCUGAAGGUUAGGUUAUGAGAUGAUAUGAUGGCAUGAGCCAAAUAGCAGCCUGUGUGGGAGCGGACCACUAUAGGUUGGUGAUGGACACGAGCGACGCAGGCUAGAUUUGACUGUUGAGCUGAUCACUAUGAUUGGGUUUUAUUGUAAUAUUUUAUUUAGUAACUAAUUGAUAGAACUACAAAUUUCAAUUAUAUUGUAGAGGCAUGAUAAUAGUAGUUACUUUCAAUACUUAUUCAUAUUAGUACUUGCUUAUUUACACUGCUCGGUCAUUUACUAUUUUUGCCUUUUAUGGAUCUAGCAGUGUAGACCGUCGGCGUUGAUGAUCGUACCCAAUGAGGACUAUUGAUUAUAGUUCUUAUACCCUCUUUAUUAAUAUUUUAUUUCAGAGCCUUCAGCACCAGCGACUGAUUGAGAUAAGGGGAUUGCGGAUAGUUAGCAUCUCCUACUCUUUUUGUCUGUAUAGUUGGACAAUCUAUCAUUGUAUAUAGCAGCCUGCAUAUUGCUUUGAGAUUUGGAGUGGUCAAAGAUGUUAUACCAUUUGAGAACUGGUAUAGUGAUAAUUAUAUAUAUUUACAGUGUUACUAUAGUAUAUAGUUUUUAUUUCCUUUGAUAUCUACUGUUGUUAGAUUUUAAUUAAUUUUAUUAGACAGAUUUUGUUGACGCUUCAUAUGUAUAAGAUGUAUCCUUGUGCAUACGACCGGUCUGUUGACGUAACCCGGGCUUCCUCUGUAAUUCGGGACAUGACUGAUGCACCCCAAGGAUACAGUAGGUCUGAUGAACCCUUUGUGUAAGAGAUCCUCGAGCUGAGCCUUCAGCUCAGUGAAGGCCAUCUGAUAGUGAGCCUUCGAGAUAGGGGUCGUGCCAGGAACCAGGUCAAUGAAGAACUCGAUCGCUCAAUCUGGAGAUAUCCCGGAUAGCUCCGCUGGAAUGACAUCGAGAAAAUCCCGAACCACCGGGAUCUCCUCCAAAGCUGGAGUCGCUAGACGAACAUCCUCCACUUAGACCAGAUAGGCAACACACCUCCCUAUCAUAAGCCUCAUCGCCCUAGCAGCAGAGACAGACAUGACGAAGAAGGAGCUCUUACAUGCACGGUAGGCGAACUCCUCUUCACCAGGCACUGCAAAGGUCACCGUCCUCUUCUCGCAGUUGAUAGACGUGUGGUGCCUUGUGAGCCAUCCAUCUCAAGCACCACGUCAAACUCCUUGAUCGGCAAUACGACCAGGUUUGCCAAGAAUGCCUGAUCGUCCAACAAUGUAGGGCACGGCAUGAUGCAUAUAUCCGCGUUCAACUUGAACUCGAGUGCCUAAAUUCGUAGUGCCUUCACUUGAACUAUUCUAGCCCACAUUGAGCCCGAGCCCAAAUAUAGCUUAAAUCUAACCUAGGCUUGUUCUAAACCCAAACUAUAUGGGCUUGACUUCAGCCAAAGUCUAAAUCUAAUAGCCAAUCUAUAUCUUAUCCUAAACUAUGAGAGCUCAUACUAAAUCCCACACCUAAGCCCAACCCAAACCUGAGUUAUAUGGGCCCAAGUUUAGCCAAAAAAAUUUAAAUUUGAACCCAACCCAAUUAUAUUUCCGAAUGGGCCCAAGUUCAUGUCAAAGACUAAAUAUGAACCCAACCCAAUUAUUUAAUCCGGAUUGGCCCACGUUGAGCCCAGUCCCUAAUUCCAAUCCAAUCCAAAUUUCACGGGCGUGAGACCUAAACCAUAUUAACCAAACCAAAGCCAAACCUAACCUCAGACCCAAAUCAAAUCAAAAUCCCAGUUUAACCCAAUUCAAAUCGUGCACAACUUGAUGCAACCUAUUGUCCUUUCAGGUCCUUAGAAACAAAUCUUUUCAACCCAAUUCUCUAACAAAUAAAACUAGAGUCACAUUGCCACUGCAUUCAACCUCAACUGAAAUCUAAAAUAUACGAAUUAAUCAAACUAUCCUUUAUCUUAGUACAUGUGACUAAGAUAAGAAAAUAAUAAAUUAGGUCCCACAAAACCAAAUUAAUUUGAUUGGACUCUAAUACACGUACUUAGAGUUUAAUUAAAUCAAUUAGACUCUAAUAUGUAUAAUUAGAGUUUAAUCUAAAUCAAAAUUGGCUAAAUCUUAAUACAUAUACAAUUAGGAUUUAACCAUCAUUCACCUUUGGGUGAACUCAAAUAUGGUUGGACUCUAACACACAUACUUAGAGUUCAACUAAAUCAAUUAGACUCUAAUAUGUAUAAUUAGAGUUUAUCUAAACCAAAUUCGGCUAAUGUUAUAUAUAUAUUUAGGAUUUAGCCAUACUUCAUCUUAGGGUGAACUUAAACCUGAUUGAGCUAUAAUUAAUAUAUAUAAUUAGAGUCUAAUCUAUUCAAAUCCGACUAAGUCCUAAUAUAUACAGUUGGGAUUUAGUUAAUUCUAUACCUUAGGGUGGACAUAUUGAGCUCUAAAAUAUAUACUCAAAGCCCAGUCAAAUCUAAUUGGAUUAAUCCCUAAGAUGUAUUGCUAAGGAGUAAUCAAAUUUAAAUUCAAUCGACCGUCAUCUUGUUAAACUAAUCACUCUCAUCUUUUAUGUUUAUAUUAUACUCAUAUACACUAGGGGUAUGCCCCUGGUUAAGCUAUGUAGCUGUACAACAGCCUAUGUAAUAAAAUUCAUCUUUUAUAUGAUUCCAGUCUAUCUCAUUAUCAGUAUUUCAGAGGUCUCUUAAUCGAAGGUGCCCUAACAUUUUAUAGAGGUAACGUAUAGUAGACGCUUAUGUUUAUUGGUAGCCAUGGAUCCAUAAUACUUGAUACGCAUACAUCUUAAAUAUCAAUUUGAAUCAUGAGUACCACUCCACGAUGGUCGCAGACAUAACUGAAGUUGAAGCUUCAGCUGGAGGUUUGCUAGGGAAGGCUAGGCCGACUCCCUUUCUCAUCCUCGUUUUCUCUCAUUCUCUUCUUUCUUCUUUUCUUCUUCUUCUUUCUUUCUCUCUUCCUCUCUUCUUUUCUUUUCUUUUCUUCUUCUUCUUUAUUCUUCUCUUCUUCUCUCCUCUUCUUCUUUUUUUCUUUUGCUCUCUUCUUUUCUUUUCUCUUUAAUAUUUCUUUCUUUCCUCUUCUUGUCUCUUCUUUUCUUCUUCUUCUUUCUUCUUUUCCUUUUUUCUUUUUUUCUUAUCUCAUUCUCCUUUUGUCUUUUUAUUCUCACCAUUGUGACACCCUAAUAAUCCCGCAUCGAGUAGUUAUGGCUAGAUGUGGGGGUACAUAAGCUUGAUUAGGCUGAAAAUAAUAAUUAGGCUUAAGCAUUUUGGGCCAGUGGUUUGGGCCCAACGAGUUAUUAUUGCUAGCGGGUCAAGUCAUUACAUUUGGUAUCAGAAUCGGUUCGUCAGGCGGAAGUGUGAGAUGAGCAUUGGCUGAGCCAGGGUCGGAAUGACAAAUUAAGCCAGGGUCGGUGAAUGACAUGCUAAGUCAAGGUUGGAAUGGCAAGGCUAGCGAGACAAGUCUCACAUUGCUGGAUGAUCUUGGGUUGUGUGUGUGUUUUGAGCUAACGAGAAUGUCAGGGCCUAAAUAGGGGGUUGUCUGUGAUACCCCAAUAGUCUCACAACGGAUAGGAAUGGGAUUGUUAUUGGGUGUAUAAGAGAACUUCACUAUAUUAAUAAUAAUUGGGUUUAAGAAUUUUGAGCCGGUUGUUUGGGCCCAAAGGGUAAUUAUUGCUAGUGAGCUGGGUCGUUAUAUUUGGUAUCAGAGCCGGUUCACCAGCCGGAAGUAUGACUGUGAGAUGAGUCUUGGCUGAGCCGGGAUCGGAAUAACAGACUGAGCCAGGGUCGGUGAAUGACAGGCUAAGUUAGGAUUAGAAUGACAAGGCUAGUAAGACAAGACUCAUAUCGCCUGGUGAUCUUGAGCUGUGUGUGUUUAGGACUGACGAGGAUGACAGGUCCUAAAUAAGGGGAGAAUGUGACACCCCAAUAAUGCCACAUCGGAUAGUUAUGGCUAGAUGUGGGGUAUAUAAGCUCGAUUAGCCUAGAAAUAAUAACCGUGCUUAAGUAUUUUGGGCCAGUGGUUUGGGCCUAAUGAGUUAUUAUUGCUAGCGGGUCGGGUCGUUACAACCAUUUUUCUCCUCUUCACUCUUUUUCUCUUUAUUUUCCCUUUUUUCUUCUUUUUUUAUUUUUUUCUCAUUCUUCUAUUUUUUUUUCAAAACAAGCUUCUUAAUAAACCCGCAUUUCACUAUUAGAAAGUGCCUUCUCGAGCACUGAGGCGAAUCGAGCGUGUGAGACCGUGGUCGAAACUCUACCAAAGGUCGUCUUCUUCAGCUACUCAACCAAAGGGGAUAAAGGAGGUGAUCCAGCUGAAGAGCGAGAAGGAAAAGGAGAAUCAAUCAAAAUAGGCUGAAGAUUUACCUCGGCCCAUGAGGGAGCUGGCUGUGGGCCUUCUUCAUCAGGCAUCGGCAUGGCAAAGGCCUUUGUAAGGACCGACUUAGGCACUUUCUUAGCUGGAAUAGUGGUUUGAGCCGAGGGUAUAAUACUAGUGGUUGGUUUCUCCAUCGACGACACGCCUUCAACCAAUGCAAAAGGGACAGAAAGGCGAAUUCUAAUUGCAAUUGUUUUUCGCCGCUUUUGCUAUGGCAAAAGAACUGGAGAAAUAGAUUCAAUAAGCCGCUUCUCUGAAAGCUUAGCCGAUGGAUCAGGAACACGUGUCGGCUAAGAAGAAUAAAAGAAUAAAAGAAUAAAAAUGAGCUGAAAGCAUAAUAAAAGUAAGUAUAUGACGAGAAGCAUACCGCCGAGGGGCGAGGAGAAACCUUUGGAUCCGUGUCGAAAUCCUCGCCCGAACCCUCUAGUUCCGGAGAGUCGGGUGCAACCUUUUUACCAGUAGAAGGGUGAACUAAAGUAAACAAAAGAGAUUAAAGAGAGAACGAAAAAAUAAUAGAAGAAAAAAAGACAAGAGUCAAAUCAAGAAGUACCUUCUGUAUAAAGGAUGUUACGGAAGCAGUGAGACGAGGUCUUAGAAAAAAUGACCUCACAAAAUGACCUCAUAGAUAGAAUGAUGCCAAGGGAGCGGACCGAUGAUCACCGCCACAUCAAAAAGGGUCGGGUGAAAGGUCCCACCCUAAAGAAGAAAGUGUUAGAAACUAAAGACCAUAAACAUAAAGCUGCAACAAGAAGGAGGCUAUCGGCUUGAGGAUGGGUCUUUAAGAGUUGGAUAGCUUCAUAGAUCCCAAUUUCAAGCUAAUGAUCGGUGUAAUAGCCUUGACUCGAUCUAGUCAGGCCAAAUGGGCAUCCGAAAUGGUAGGCUAGGUGCGGAGACUCUUCCCAGAUGAUGACUUUAGAAAAAACCAAGAGUGAAGAUGGAUAACGUUGGCCAUCAAAGGGAGCCCUUCCGUUAAGAAAAGAAAAGCAUCAACUGGAGGAGGCGCUAUGAACGAAAGGCCGAGUGUUAAGUGAGAGGAAUCUGACUCGACAAACUGCCUUAAAAGAGUACAGUCGAGAUCUGGAAGCGAAUGGAGAGAGGGAAUCCAAGCCAUUGAAAAAUUUUGGAAUCAAAGAAAGCUUGUAAUUGAAGGAUCAUAGAAGCUCCUUCUCAGGAAGAGCAAGAACCAAAAAAGAAGGGUUUAGAGGGCAGGAGGAAAACGAGGCCGUCGUUGGGAAUUUCGAAAUAAAGUAUGACUGCGAGAUGACGGCAGUAAUUAAUGCCUUAAUUAAUACCCUAGAUGAAACAAAGGAAUGAGAAAUCACGGCCGUCCCUAGAUAAGACAAAAGCCACAAAGAAAUCAUAGCCAUCAAAGGGAUGGGAAUCAAGUACGAAGUGACCGAAGGUACAAUUUGGUGAAGCCGCAUGUGAUUUGACCACAACAGAUGGCAUCAAUUGUUGAAUCCGCGGCACCCGAAUCUCAAUUGUUGAAACAAAAAGAUGCUAGCCACCCAAAACGACUGUUCAGAUUGCUACCGAGGGGGCAUUGUUGGCGCCAUAAAAAUAAUGCCACGUGGAAGAGAGAGCUGAGCCACGUGAACAAAGCUAAAGAACCACCCAAAACAAAUUUGAUUUUUGAAAACUCUCGAGAUUCAAUCUCAAAAAUCACGCAAUUGGGAUCCCUCAUGUUCUUAAGAAUAAAGAAGAAAAGUAAGAUCGAAACUUUACCUUAUUCGCGGAUAAAUCUUCACCUCAAUUUGAUGAUCGUGGAAUUCGGUUCUCUUGAAGCCGCACACGCGUCCGGCCUCUAUAGGUAUCCACACGAGGUUCUUGAUUUGAUCGAUGUCCUCACCGGGGUGCUAGCUCCCUUGCAAAAUGACGUCUUUCUUGCUAGAAGAUGAAAGAAAGAAAAGAGGAUAGAUGACGGCUUCGGUUUUCUAAAAACUCCUGUAUAUUAUAUAUAGGAAUUUAAUCCUAUUCCUAAUAAUAUAAUAACCAUUAAGGAUAAGUACAAAUCUAGAUUUAAAUUUAUCCUUUCCUUAAUUAGUUACAUCAAUCAAAUCCUAAUUUGAUUCGACUUGAACUUUAUAUUAAUUUGAUCUUAUUAAAUUAAUAAUGCAACAUUUGCACAUAAGUCCUCUUAUAAUUUACUAACUAUUAGUAAGUCCUCUCUAGUAACAUUUACACUUUAAUACCACUAAUUUGUAACAAUUACAAAUUAGUCCAAUUAUCAACAUAUUGACAAUUAGGUCCUCCGGCGAUUCAAUAAUCGCGAUCUAGCUAUCCGAUCAAUCACAACCUCUUAUGUGUGUGACCCCAUAGGUUCUAUUCUAUCUGGUAGUGAGAUAUAUUUUGAUCACUAUCAACAAUAUCACUGAAACUCCUUUCAAUGGAUUAGAACAAUUCCAACUCAGCCCAAUGAGAAUUAUCGAUCAUCUAGAUAAUUCUCAUGAGUCUCACAAUCCACCAGUGACGCCUAGCAGCAUGUAGUGGCAUUCCAGUAGAAUGGAAUACUGAACCUCUUGGUGCAGUUACCGUGUGAUACAAUCCUUCUAUCAUGAGUCCCGACUAGACGGAGGUUAUGGAAUAACUCGUCAAACCCCAUCGUCUGUCAUAUGUUAAAUUUAUUCGACUCGAGUUUCUAAUAUCGGAAACCCUUUUCCGCUAUUUAUUCUGCCCUGGCCAAGGUCUUCUAAACUCGGUCUCAUAAAUCACAUAGGACUAACACCCCUAUCUACCAAGGGAGAUAGAUUCCAUCUAAGUGCGCACCCUAUUCCUACAAUGAACCUACUGCAGCCAACAUGCACCGCAAGGACCCGAAUGGCUAGGGACCAAGUGUAUGUACAGUCAAACUACAGUAACCUCAUUGUGAAUAGACGAGGCACCGCAGGUCAAAGGACCAGUCACACUACUGCAACAUUGAGUAAGUCACUGACGAGUGAGUAGACAUCCAAGUGACUUCUCGCGUUGGUCAUGCUCGGUACCCUUGUUCUCUAACAACCACCUGCAUAUUCGCUUCAGUGUCCCCACACUAUCGACUCGAGACCCGUCUACCCAAAAGGGAAGCGACCUAUGCACCAAUCUCACCGGAUCAAUCACCGUCUCCGUGAUGAUCUAUUGAUCGGGAGCAUUUAGGAAUUAACCACCAAUGACGCAUGUCUCAAAUUCUCAACUCUUGAGAAUAUAUGUCAUCAUCUUAUUAAUUCCUUGAACGAUUCAUGGACACAUAUACAACAUGAAUGGAAAUAAUAACCCAAAUUUAUUCAUAAUAUUUUAAAAUCAAAUACAAAUUUAUGUCCUAGAAAGAGUACAUGUGUCAGCCUAGUUGGCUUCUAGGGCAUACAUCUAACAAUCUCCCACUUGUAUUAAAGCCAAUCAACCAUAUACGUAAGCCCCAUCUUCUCAAGGUGGACUUCAGUCUUCUGCUGGCUAAGUGGUUUAGUCAAUGGGUCUGCCACGUUAUCCGUGGAGUCUAUUCUCUGCAUCUCGAUGUAUUUCUUGUCGAGGUAGUCGCGUAUAAUAUGAAACCGCCGCUCUAUAUGCUUGGACUUCUGAUGAGACCUGGGCUCCUUAGCUAGGGCUAUGGCGCCAUUGUUGUCGCAAUAGAGUGGUAUGAAAUCCGAUGACAUCACACUUAAUUCCGCGGCAAACUUCAUGAAUCAGAAGGCCUACAUCAAAUGCGGCGAUAUACUCUGCUUCCAUGGUAGGGUGGUUGUUUGGAACUCUUCCAAUACACCAAGCCACUAUUGCAUAAGAACACACAUCCUGACAUAGACUUUCUAUCGUCAACAUCAGACAUAAAGUCUGAAUCAGUAUAUCCUUGUAUUUUCAACUCUCCUCCUCCAAAGCCCAAGAACAUAUCCUUAGUCCUUCUCAAGUAUUUGAGUAUGUUCUUCACAGCAAUCCAGUGCUCCUCAUCUGGAUUAGAUUGAUAUCUACUUGUGACACUCACAGCAAGCGCGAUAUCAGGUCGUGUACAUAGCAUGGCGUACAUAAGACUCCCUAUAGCUGAUGCAUAAGGGAUCUUACUCAUACGUUGAAUCUCUUCAAAUGUAUUGGGGCACAUUUUCUUAGAGAAAUAAAUUCCAUGUCUAAGAGGUAAAAGUCCCUUUUUGGAGUUUUCCGUGCUGAACCUCUUCAGCACCUCUUCUAUGUACAUUUUCUGUGAGAGGCCUAGCAUCCUUUUAGAUCUAUCUCUAUAGACCUUUAUCCCCAAAAUAUAGGAUGCUUCCCCUAGAUCUUUCAUGGAGAAUUCUUUAGACAACCAUAUUUUAACUGAAGUCAGCAUUGGAAUGUCAUUCCCAAUUAGGAGAAUGUCAUCCACGUACAAUACGAGGAAUGUGACAGCUCUCCCACUGACCUUCUUAUAAACACAUGGUUCCUCCUCAUUCUUAACGAAAUCAAACGAUUUAAUCACGUUAUCGAAACGAGUAUUCCAAGUCCGAGAUGCUUGCUUAAGUCCAUAAAUGGACCGUUGCAACUUGCAUACUUUGUGACUUUCGUCACCGGAAGUGAAACCCAAAGGCUGCUCCAUAUAGAUAUCUUCCUCAAGAUAUCCAUUUAGGAAGGCAGUUUUCAGAUCCAUUUGCCAAAUAUCAUAAUCAUAGUAUGCUGCAAGGGCAAGCAGUGUUCGAAUGGAUUUAAGCAUGGCCACAGGUGAAAAGGUCUCCUGAUAGUCAAUGCCUUCGCGUUGACUAUAACCUUUCGCAACCAGCCUUGCUUUAUAGGUCUCUACCUUUCCAUCCGAACUUAUCUUUCUUUUGUAGAUCCAUUUACACCCGAUAGGUACUAUACCUUCUGGUGGGUCUACCAAAAUCCAAACCUGCUUGGAAUGCAUUGAGUCAAUUUCUGACUUCAUGGCAUCCAGUCAUUUCUCGGAAUCGAUGUCAGACAUCGCCUCAUUGUAGGUUUUGGGAUCAUCUCCAUGUUCCCUAUCUCCUAUGAGGAACAUUUCCUCUACUUCCUCUGUAACGAUAUCUAAGUAUCUUUUAGUGGUAUGGGAGAUUCUACUCGACCUACGAGGUGGAGGAGGUACUACGUGUACUGGCUCAGCUUGAAUAGGUUUUGUAAGUUUGAUGACUCGUUGCUCUUCAGAGACUCUCUCUUCGAGCUCAAUUUUUCUCCCACUAGCUUCUUGAAUAAAUUAUUUUUCCAAAAAAAUAGCAUGUUUGCUUACAACUACAUUGUGAUUCUCCGGGAUAUAAAAAUAGUAACCUAAAGUUUCUUUAGGAUAUCCAAUAAAACGAGCCUUCUCAGACCUAGCCUCUAACUUGUCCGCCUGUAGUCGCUUAACAUGGGCCGGACACCCCCAAAUCUUGAUAUGGCCAAGACUUGGUUUCUUACCAUGCCACAUCUCAUACGGCGUAGUAGGAACAGAUUUAGAGGGAACUCUAUUUAACAAGUAAGCUGCAGUAAGCAAAGCAUGUCCCCAAAGAAAUAAAGGAGGAUCAGUGAAGCUCAUCAUGGAUCGAACCAUAUCCAAUAAGGUUCGGUUUCUCCGUUCUGACACCCCGUUGAGUUGAGGUGUUCCCGGAGGAGUCCACUGUGAGACUAUGCCGUUUUCUUUGAGAUAAUUUAGGAACUCUCCACUAAGGUAUUCUCCUCCUCGAUCUGAUCGAAGAACCUUGAUGGAUUUUUCAGUUUGUUUUUCUACUUCAUAUCUGAAUUCUUUGAACUUUUCAAAAACCUCAGAUUUGUGUUUCAUAAGAUACACAUACCCAUACCGUGAAUAAUCAUCGGUAAAGGUUAUGAAGUAGAGAUAACCACCCCUAGCAUGCACAUCAAAUGGCCCACACACAUCAGUGUGUAUCAAGGAAAGUAUCUCAGUGGCCCUUUCCCCUUGUCCUACAAAGGGUAAUUUAGUCAAUUUUUCUUGAAGACAAGAUUCACAAACUGGAUAAGACUCUGAAGUCAAUGAGCCGAGAAGCCCAUCUUUAUCCAAUUUAUUGAUCCUUUCUUCUCCAAUAUGACCAAGCCUGAGGUGCCACAUAUACUUUAGGUUCAUCUCAUCUCUAGGUCUCUUAGACCCAACAGCAGUCACUACUUGCUCAGAAAUAUUUGCAGAAACAUCCAUAUAUAAAUGAUAAAGACUGUCAAUCAUAAAACCACGACUAAUAAUAUUGUUUCUAAAAUAAAUUAUGCAGUAGUCUUUGUCAUAAUUAAAAUUAUAACCGUCCCGUGCUAAAGAAGAAACAUAAAUUAAAUUCCUGCUAGCAGCAGGUACAUAAUAAUAGUCUUUAAGUAAUAAAACAUAUUCUGACGGUAGUCGCAAAAGGAUAUGUGCCAGCAGCCACAGCAGCAACUCUUGCCCCGUUGCCCACCCAUAGGGUCACUUCACCUUCCUUAAGCCCUAUACUUUCCCAUAGACCCUGCAUUGAAGUACGCAGAUGAGAACUAGAACCAGAGUCUAUAACCCAACUAGAAGUAGAGGAAACCGUAAGGUUAGUUUCUAUUACGAACAAGUCUGACAUACCUUCCGAAGGUGUGUCCUUCUUUUUAUUCUUCAAGCUCUCCAGGUAGACAGGACAAUUUCUCUUCCAAUGACUAUCAACGUUGCAGUGGAAACAUUUUCCUUUGUCAGCGGCCUUAUUCUUAGGAACUUCCUUCUUGGGCUUAUUUUCCGUCUUUUGUUUCUUCGCGGGUUUCUUCCUCCAAUUAGACUUUCUUUUGGAAGAGGAAGCUCGCACCACAGCGAGAAUUGAGCCCUUUGAAAUUUUCAAAGUCCCUUCUAUAGUUACCAACAUGUUCAAUAACUCAGCGUUGGUGCAAUCAAUUUUAUUCAUAUGGUAGUUUAUAAUAAACUGUCCAUAUGAUACAGGAAGGGAUUGGAGGAUCAGAUCAACUUGCAAUUCCUUAUUCAUUUUCACGCCAAGCUUCUCAAGCUCCUCGAGGUCUUUGAUCAUUGUCAAACAGUGAUCAUGAACAGACUGCCCAUCGUGCAUCUUGGCUUUAAAGAGUCUUUUGGACACUUCAAAACGAGCAGAUCGGCUUUGCUCACCAUACAACUACUUGAGGUGAGUUAGCAUUUCCUUAGCAGUCUUCAUAUCCUCAUGUUGGCGUUGAAGUUCAUUUGACAUCGACGCCAAAAUGUAGCACCUUACUUUAUUAUCGUCAUCCGUCCAUUUUUCCUGAGCUGUCCUUUGAUCAGCUGUAGGACGGUUUGGUAAUGUGGGGGGGUCCUGGUUGAGAAUAUAACUAAGCUUUUCGGAACUCAAAACUAUUUUUAAGUUCCUUAACCAAUCUUUAUAAUUAGUUCCAAUUAAACGGUUUGAAUCAAGAAUUCGAGAGAGAGGAUUGGAAGCGGACAUUUUAUUCUGCAGAGAGUAAAUAUUCAAAAUUAGAUAUUUGUAUUUGUUUUGAAAAUUUGUUUUAGGGAUUUUAAAAAUAAAUUUAGCCUCCCACUAUUUUCUCGAGUCUCUUACACUCCUCGGGUAGAGAAACGAAAACCCAACACGACAAAAGGUUGCAAGUGGGUACUGCAGUCCCACCAGUUUAACGUACCACCUCACCUAACAGUUAUUGGUGAUAUGCAAACCGAUGAGUGGACAACUCUUGUCCAAUGCUUCUCAAGCAAAUUGGAGAGAUCGGUCUCUAAGUCCUGUAAGCCUCACCUGACAGUUAUUGGCCCCAUUCCUUAGUUAAGUCAGACUCACCGUUCAAACGCGUAAGCAAAACCGUCAUUGGGUCCCUCAACUGACAGUUAUUGGGCCGAACACCAUCUUUACUCCGAAGCAUCUCAUGCUAAUAGAGUGGUUGCGAAUUCCCGAUGCAACUGACCACUGUAACCAGCCGUGCCAAUCAACACCAGAAAAGCGCCCGCACUUCUACAACGGCGGAAGACCGCUCGACUUAAUAUUUAUGAGGAGAUUUAUUUGGGUCUCAAAAAAUAUUUUAUUUCUUUACAUCUAAUGCAAAUAAAAUAAAAAAUCAAUCCGCACAAACAAAUAUAAUUAAACUGGUGAUGAUCAUGGAUCUUAGAAGUGGAUUCGGACUCGAGCCACUGAGUCGGAAUCGGGGUCUUAGGGUCAUAAAUUACAAGCACACACACGUCAUUGGUUUGAUUGUUUUCAACUUCUUGAUCCGAUCUGGAGCUUCAACUUGAUCCGAUCCUUAUCAACACCUUGAUCUGACCGUCAUCAAGUAUUCGUCUCUAUCCGGACCUUGCGAACUUUUGGGCUUGCAACCGAUCAACCAAUGACGUGCAAUCAUACAUUAUGCAACCCAAUAAUAAAAAUAAAAUAAAAAUUAAUUACAAUUGAUAACUUUUAUCUCUAAUCUAUUGAGACACGCAGGUCUCCAAAUAAAUCGGCUUGUGCAUGCAAGCACAAAUAUAGCCAUCUCUAAUACAAAAUCCUUAAUUUAAACAAAUUUAAAAUUACAGGAUUCGGCAUACACAUCAUACAUCACAUGUCAAAAUAUAAAUAGGUCGCUAUCCAUGAUCAUCACCGUAUCUCAUACAUCACAUGCAUAAUAAUAAAUUUUGGAUAUUCUAAUUAACCGUUAACCGAUGAUUCGAAAGAAUAAAUUAUUAAAAAUAAUCAAUCUUAUGAAUUAUAAUAAUUUUGAUCAACAAUUUAAUCUACAAAAAUAACAUCUUGAUCUCAUCAAGAAAUCAAUUUGAUCUAAUCAAAUUAGAUUCACCCUUUUCUUUUAUUUUAAAAACGAUCUAAUCAGCUUUUAAAAAAAUGUUUAAGAAUUUUUUUAAAAAAAUUUUGUCAUCCAUACGGACGCUACAGUAGCAUCCAUACGGAUGCUACAGUAAUUGCUACAGUAACAUCUUUUUUUUUUUUUUUUUGCUUGCAUGCUAGAAAUCAUCAAUUAAAUUGUUUGAUCAAUUUGAUUUUUCGAAUCAACCAAACAACGAUCUAUAAAUCUUUUGAUCGGCGAAAAACAGUUUAGAAUACCCAAAUUCAUAAUUUUAAUCUUAAAAAAAACAUGAGGAUGGCUCUGAUACCACUGUUAGAAAAUUGGUAAAACGCAACGGAAAAGAAAAUCAAAUAAAUUUGAUUUUUGAAAACUCUCGAGAUCCAAUCUCAAAAAUCACGCAAUUGGGAUCCCUCAUGUUCUUAAGAAUAAAGAAGAAAAGUAAGAUCGAAACUUUACCUUAUUCGCGGAUAAAUCUUUAUCUCAAUUUGAUGAUCGUGGAAUUCGGUUCUCUUGAAGCCGCACACGCGUCCGGCCUCUAUAGGUAUCCACACGAGGUUCUUGAUUUGAUCGAUGUCCUCACCGGGGUGCUAGCUCCCUUACAAAAUGACGUCUUUCUUACUAGAAGAUGAGAAAAGAGGAUAGAUGACGGCUUCGGUUUUCUAAAAACUCCCGUAUAUUAUAUAUAGGAAUUUAAUCCUAUUCCUAAUAAUAUAAUAACCAUUAAGGAUAAGUACAAAUCUAGAUAUAAAUUUAUCCUUUCCUUAAUUAGUUACAUCAAUCAAAUCCCAAUUUGAUUCGACUUGAACUUUAUAUUAAUUUGAUCUUAUCAAAUUAAUAAUGCAAUAUUUGCACAUAAGUCCUCUUAUAAUUUACUAACUAUUAGUAAGUCCUCUCUAGUAACAUUUACAUUUUAAUACCACUAAUUUGUAACAAUUACAAAUUAGUCUAAUUAUCAACAUAUUGACAAUUAGAUCCUCCGACGAUUCAAUAAUCGCGAUCUAGCUAUCUGAUCAAUCACAACCUCUUACGUGUGUGACCCCAUAGGUUCUAUUCUAUCUGCUAGUGAGAUAUAUUUUGAUCACUAUCAACAAUAUCACUGAAACUCCUUUCAGUGGAUCAGAACAAUUCCAACUCAGCCCAAUGAGAAUUAUCGAUCAUCUAGAUAAUUCUCAUGAGUCUCACAAUCCACCAGUGACGCCUAGCAGCAUGUAGUGGCAUUCCAGUAGAAUGGAAUACUGAACCUCUUGGUGCAGUUACCGUGUGAUACAAUCCUUCUAUCAUGAGUCCCGACUAGACGGAGGUUAUGGAAUAACUCGUCAAACCCCAUCGUCUGUCAUAUGUUAAAUUUAUUCGACUCGAGUUUCUAAUAUCGGAAACCCUUUUCCGCUAUUUAUUCUGCCCUGGCCAAGGUCUUCUAAACUCGGUCUCAUAAAUCACAUAGGACUAACACCCCUAUCUACCAAGGGAGAUAGAUUCCAUCUAAGUGCGCACCCUAUUCCUACAAUGAACCUACUGCAGCCAACAUGCACCGCAAGGACCCGAAUGGCUAGGGACCAAGUGUAUGUACAGUCAAACUACAGUAACCUCAUUGUGAAUAGCCGAGGCACCGCAGGUCAAAGGACCAGUCACACUACUGCAACAUUGAGUAAGUCACUGACUAGUGAGUAGACAUCCAAGUGACUUCUCGCGUUGGUCAUGCUCGGUACCCUUGUUCUCUAACAACCACCUGCAUAUUUGCUUCAGUGUCCCCACACUGUCGACUCGAGAUCCGUCUACCCAAAAGGGAAGCGACCUAUGCACCAAUCUCACUGGAUCAAUCACCGUCCCCGUGAUGAUCCAUUGAUUGGGAGCAUUUAGGAAUUAACCACCAAUGAUACAUGUCUCAAAUUCUCAACUCUUGAGAAUAUAUGUCAUCAUCUUAUUAAUUCCUUGAACGAUUCAUGGACACAUACACAACAUGAAUGAAAAUAAUAAUCCAAAUUUAUUCAUAAUAUUUUAAAAUCAAAUACAAAUUUAUGUCCUAGAAAGAGUAUAUGUGUCAGCCUAGUUGGCUUCUAGAGCAUACAUCUAACAGGAUCAACAUAAAUAAACAGAAAUUGCCUGCGCAAGAAGUCUUUUCACACACGAAUCAAGAGACCCCAACAUUUUUAAUUCCUUUCUUUUUCUACAUUUACCGCUUUCCUAAGAGUGGUCUUUUAAGAUGGAUUUUUCUAUUAGUUGGUAGAUUUUACUGUAUUUUCAAGAAUUCAGUAGAUUAGCGAUAGGGACUAUCUCUUUGUAUAUCUCUAUUUUUCAAUAAUACAUUGAAGCGACUCGGCUCAUUUCAGCCAAGUCAGUAAUAUUUUUGAGUGUUUGAACUCGGCUGAGCGGAUCCUUCCUCAGCCGAUCGCUUGAUUCUGUCAUGGGCGCAUUUUGAGCAUCAUCAUUAGAAGCCAUCCCGUCUCUCAACUCGCUUCCCGAAACAGAGGUUUGACCAGGUCAACGGUCUCGUUAUUCGGCUCGCAGCACACUCUUAAAACUAUUGGAAUGGUUCCCAAUCCUUAUUACUCACUAGAAUUUCGCAAUUUACAAAAGUUUCUUGCAUUACAUAUUCUAGAAUGCCUGGAAGUUUCAGGGCAUACAUUUUUAAAGAUGAGUGAUUCUUUUGGCAAAUUCCAUAGAGGAUAACUUGAUCGUCUCUACGACAACAGUAAGUUUAUGUAGACAUAUGCAAGAAUUGGCUUAUUAACUUUCUAACUUACACCAUUAUUUUCUAAUCUAAAAUAGUAUGAUACGAAUUUUUUUUAAAAAAAAUUACUCAUAAGAAAAGAAAACAAACACUCUCAAUGUAUGCAUCCAAUCAAGCACAACUGGGGAAAUCAAAUAUAAUUUAGGCGCUCUUAAUUAAGCAAAAUUAUUGCACAUAUUUGGUACGGUCAACGUCCAAUGUGUACAAAUUUAAAUCUCUUGGUCUUAAUUAAUUAAAGGAAAAGCCCUUAUAUUGGAAAAAAUGUAUAAAGACCCCUUGAACUUCACCUCUUUGUAAACAAGCAUCUGAACUUCAAUGUUAGCAAUUGGACUCCUUAAACUUAUCAAAUAGUUCAAUGACCCCUUUUUCAAUUAAAGUUAUCAAUUAUAUAAUUCUUUCACUACAACAAAAAUGGUCUAUAGCGACACUUUUAAAUGUAGGUACAUGUCAAAAAAGUGCUGCUAACUAAAAUUACUGACACUUUUAAAAAAUGUUGCUAUAUGUGGGGUCGCUAGGUAUAUAGUGACAGUUAAAGAGUGUCGCUAUAACCUAAAAGAGUGCUGCUAAUUUACCAACACUUAUUUAAGCAUUUAGCAACCGCCGAAACUCUAUCUCGUUGGCUGCGGUGGCGGAGAAGGACGACAGGAAAUGCUCUUCGUCUAGAAUUUCAGUGGAUUGAGUGAAGAGAGAAGAAAAGAUGGUAAUUGAUUUUUCUUUUUUUUCUUUUCUGUUUGUAAUCGGGUCAAAUGGACUGGGUGUGGUGGGUUGAGUAGAGUAAUCUUUUAUUUUUAGUUGGAUUGGGCUUUAUAUUUAGGCAUAAGUAGAUGUUUUUUUAAAUUUUAGCAUAAAUGGGACACUUACUCAAAAGUGUCCCAAACAUGUGUCCCUAUAACCUAAUUCUGUUGUAGUGUUUGGUCGUAUGUAGAGCAUAUAGUUUUGUAAAGGUUCAAAACGUAACAAAUUUUAUUUUUGCAUUCUAACAUGUAAAAAAAUAAAAAAUUGAAGUUCGGUUCAACCUAUUUGUUGAUCAUCAUACUUAAUUAUCAAAAUUAGAAGAGAAUUUUUAAUAUUUUACAGAAUUAUAUGUAUGACAUCCAACUUAAACGGUUAUAUAAUUAGUAAUUUUACUUGAGAAGAAAGACCUAUUGAAAUAUUUAAUAAAAUUGAAAGUUUAGGCACUUAAUUGCAAAAGAGCUAGAGUUUCGAGAGUCUCUAUUCAUUUUCCUAUUAUAUUUACUAACACAGAUUACACCGGCAUUUUAAAAGAACCAAGUUCACCUCUGUUUUACAAACAAAAUUAUAUUAUCCUUUUUAACCGAAGUAGAAAAAUUCCAGCACCUUAUCGACCAUCAUUUCGAGGCUUUCUAAACAACUCCCUGGUUGAAGCAAAUAACAUAAAUGUGCUGUUAUAUGUAUUCCCUAGAAGCUAACCAGGCUGAUACAUAAAUUCUUUUUAAGGCAUAAAUUUGUAUUUGAUUUUAAAAAUUAUGAAUAAAUUUAGGCUAUUAUUUUUAUUUAUGUUGUAUAUGUGUCCAUGAAUUGUCUAAGAAAUUAAUAAGAUGAUGACACUUACUCUCAAGAAUUAAAAAUUUGAGACAUUUGUCAAUGAUGGUUAAUUUCCUAAAUACUCCUGAUCGAUGGAUCAUCAUAGAAAUGGAGAUUGAUCCGGUGAGAUUAGUGUAAGGUCGCUUCUCUUUUUAGGGUAGACAAGUCUCAAGUUAACAGUGUAGAGACACUAGAGCGAAUAUACAGGUGAUUGUUAGAGAACAAGGGUACCAAGUGCGACUAGGGCUGCAAGUCUAGCUCACCGCUCGCGAGCCAGCUUAUGUUCGAUUCAAAAUAGCCUCGAAAAUGGCUCGUUUGAAAUUAAUUUCAAAUAUAAAACUAGCUGAAUUUUUAGUUCGAAAAUAAUUUCAAGCCGAGCACAAGCAAGCCUCUGCUCGUUCGUGUUCGGCUCGAAAUAGUUCGAAUAUAUAUAUAUAUAUAUAUAUAUAUAUAGUUGAGCUGGAAUACUAUCGGUAGCAAACGGGCUCCGUUGCCACCCAUUUGUUUUCGAUGAUGGAGCCUCCAAAUUGACGAUCGGCACCGUUGAACAUGAUCUAUACCACUUGAAGUAUCUAGAAAUCAAAUUUCAUACUUUUUUGAUAUAAUUUUCUUGUCCAUCAAGUUGGCGUAAAAAUGAAUGGCUGAAAAUGAAUAUCCUCUAAAAAGUGAUGAUAGAAAUUUUAUAACAUGAUCCGAGAUUAUGAUCUUGUUCUAAAAUAUUUAAAGAUUUUCUACAAAAUUCAUAAAAAAAAAUUUGAUAGCUUUACACCGUAAACAAAGAAACCCAGUCAUGUAACCAUUAAAUUCUAAUUUGAAACCUUUUAUAUUAGGUAAAUAAUUUCGAAAAGUAUUCAAAUUUAAUUUCUAAAUACUCAUUCAAGUGAUAUAGAUCAUGUUCAACGGUGUCUGAUCGUAUGAUUGAAGCUCCAUCAUCCGAAACAAUGGUUGGCAACAGAAGCCCGUUAGCACGAAGCAUGCAGUCAACCUAAUUAUAUAAUAGUUUAAUAAGAAGAUAAGAAAAAAAUGAGGAGAGAGAAGAGAGAUGAGAGAGAGAGCGAGAGAAAUAUAAAAAAAAAUACAACUAGGCAUUAUGCUUUAAUAGCACAAUCAUUUGCUACCCGAAGUUUCGGCAUUGAUUGAGAGAUGUGUGGUUAGGAUAUGUGGGUCCCCUACGGUUUAGUUAGUGUGUAUGAAUUAGUAUUCAUUUAAACGGUGAAAAUGAUCAAGGGGUGGAUCCUAACGGGGAAAACUUGUCGUAGCACACAAGUGCUCGUGCAUUUGAUAGUGUAAGCAGCCGACUCUCUCUCUCUCUCUCUCUUCUUUCUAUUAUAAUAUAUAAUAUUAUAUAUUAUAAAUUCUGCAUGCUGGUCUUCUUCUAAAGCACGGAGACGCUCCGUGCUUCCAAGUUGUUCGAUGUUCAGACUUUGAAUCGACGAUUCGUUCGUAGACAUUACUAAGUAUUUAAAGUAUCUAGAAAAUAAAUUUGCAGCCGGAAGGAUUUUUUCGAUAUAUUUGCCUAGGAACGAAGUGCUCAAAAUCAAACGGCUAGAAUAAUAAAAAUCUACAAAUAUGAUGAUAUGACAUUAGAAUUUUAGAUAAGUUCUUGAUCUGUUUAUAUGGUAUAAAGAGUUUUCUAUCAAUUGAUUGUUUGAUAUGCUACACAUCCGUUAAACUGCAAACGGCUCGACGGCCAUUAAAAUUAUUGAUUUUGAGUCCCUUCGAUCACUAGGCAAAUGAUAUCGAAAAAUUAUAAAAUUUAUUUUCUAGGUACUUCAAAUACUCUAGAUCAAGUUUAACGGAGCCGAUCGACGAUUCGAAAGUUCAAACAUCGAAAACAACUUGGAAGCACGGAGGGCUCCGUGCUUCCGAAGCAUGCCAGCCCACUCUCUCUCUCUCUCUCUCUCUCUCUCUAUAUAUAUAUAUAUAAAAUUAAAAAUAUAAAAUAAAAAAUAAAUCUCCAUUCUAGAUAAAUAAUUAUAGAAAAAAAUCUAUUGCAUAAAUCAGGAAUGUUAAUUUGAGCAUGUGUGUUGAUUAUAGUUAUGUUGAUUGUAGUUUUAUUUGUAAGUUGAUUGUAAUUUUGGGAAUUGGUAUUUUAUAAUGGUAAUUUGUCACACCCCAAUAAUCCCACAUCGAAUAUGAAUGGGGAUGUGAUUGGAUAUAUAAGAGACUUAGACACUAGCAAUAAUAACUGGGGUUAAGCAUUUUGAGCUGUAGUUGGGCCCAACGAGUUAUUAUUGCUAGUGGGCUGGGUCGUUACAUUUGGUAUCAGAGCCGGCUCACCAGCUGGACAUGUGUAGCGAGUCUCGGCUGAGCCAGGGUCUGGAUGACAGGCUAGCGAGACGAGUCUCACAUCGCCUGGUGAUCUUGGGCUGUGUGUGUGAUUGGACUAACGAGGACGUCAAGGCCUUAACGGGGGGAGUCUGUAACACCCCAAUAAUCCCACAUCGGAUAUGAAUGGGGAUGUGAUUGGAUGUAUAAGAGACUUAGACACUGGGGGAGUCUGUCACACCCCCAAUAAUCCCACACCGGAUAUGAAUGGGGAUGUAAUUGGAUAUAUAAGAGACUUAGACACUAGCAAUAAUAAUUGGGCUUAAGCAUUUUGGGCUGGUUGUUGAGCCCAACGAGUUAUUGUUGCUAGUAGGCUGGGUCGUUACAUAAUUGUAGUUAAAUUUAUGGGGCAAUUUCAUCCAUACCCCCUCUAAAAUUUACAAAUUUUGUAGAUACCCCUACAAAAGUUAAAAUAUCAUGCAUACCCCUUGAAAUAUAAAAAAUUAUCAUAAAUACCCCUACUGUUAAAAAACCGUUAGUUUAUCCUUAUCAAUAAGGUGUUAAAUCAUAAAAUGACUGAGGAUCAAAAUGGAAACCUAAGAGGGGGGGUGAAUUAGGUUUCUAAAAUAAAAAUCUAAAUAAUCAAGCAAAUUAAAAAUCCGAUGCAAAUAAAAAUGAGGAGUUUAAAGAAAUGCAAACUCGAAGAGCACACAAUCGAUUUGUUUUGAGGUUCGGCACUUUGCCUACGUCCCCGCCAACUUCUCAAUACUAGAGAAUGUUGGAUCUCCACUAGAUGAUGCUUUUGCGGGCAAGCACCAAGCCUUCACACUAACUCCUUCUUCUCAAGCUUCAAGACUUUGAUUUUCUCUCUUUUUACAAGAUUAAAUCUCACUACAAAUUUCACUCAAGUAUAGAGAGAGAAUUGAGAGCUAAGAGUAUUAGAGACACUGAAUUUUUAAGCUCAAAAUGAACUAUCUAGUUGCUAUUGAGAAAGGCCUCAAUACCAUCUAUUUAUAGCCUCGGGCAGCUUUUGUCCGUUGUACUUUCGGGAGCCCUAAACCUGUUUCCGGGCGCCCAGAAGUUAUGCACGCCAGCUGCCUGUCAGACCACGUGCGCCGCUUUUCUUGACAUUGUAUGUUUGGGCCAUUAAAAGUUGUGGGCGCCCAGAACACGAGGAAUAGCUUUUCUGACACACACCGCUUCCUUUGGAUUUGGGCCGUCAGAGAUUGUGGGCGCCCAGAUCUCGAGGGACAACUUUUUUCUGACAGCCGGAUUUUCCUGGAUUCGAGAUCAUUUUGGGCUUCCAGAAGAUGUGGGUGCCCAGAUUUUCAACGCGCGCGCCGUCUGCGUCAAAACUUUUUAGGCUGAUAUGCAACCUGUCAAGUCAAAAACUUUCGGUUGCCCUAAACUGAAAUUCGGGCGACCAGAUCCGGUAAAGAAGUUUCUGGACCACCCGAACAGCAAACAGGCAAGAUCCAAAAAGUCUCAUGAGAUUCGGAUCCACUUUAGGGCGCCCAGAACAGGAUCCAGAAAUCGCAAUUUGAUAGAACACAGAAUUUGAGCAGUUUUUGAAUAUUUAAAAAAUCCUAUGCACCUAAUCAGAAGUUAGAAAAUGUUUAAGUGAUAUAUAAGGUGAUAAGAUGAAGAGUUUUAAACUUAGUUUAAAAUUUCUCACUCUAAUAGAGCAUCAAAUAAAGAAUAGAGAGAGUGCGUUUGUCUUUUUGACAAAGGAAGCAGAUAUAGCUUCAAGUGGUGAGGCUCAGUGCUAGAAGAUUGCCCAUCUCGAGUCCUUUUUGAAGAUAUAAAGAUCUAAAACACAAAAACUCAAGAUAAAAAAUUAGUCCAAUAAUCGUAAUUAUUUGUUAUCAUCAAAAUCUAAUAAAAGAUUAGGGCCACUAGGCCAACAAUGACGAAUUUACCCCUAACUUCAUACUACUUGAGAAAUGUACCGGAGAUCCCUCAACUAUAUGCUAUUUUGAAAUAAUUCCUUUUAGUAUGCAGUUUUUUGUUAAGACCCCUUAACUUUUAGUUUUUUAAAAUUAAGAGAUUUAGUGUAAAAAAAAAAAGAAAAUUUAUUAAAUUUAACACAACUUUUCAGCUAAAAUAACUAAAAUAAUUUAAUUUCAAUAGGUAAAAUGUAUGGAGACCCCUCAACUAUAGAGAUUUUGAUAUAGACCCCUCAACUAUAGAGAUUUUGAUAAAGGCCCAUCAACUUUAAAUUUUUUUUGUUGACACCCCUUUAACCUCUACUUUUUAUUUGAGUUUUUAUAUUUAUUUUAUUAUUAAUUUUAAUAAAGUUAAUAAAUUUCUCUUUCUAUUAUCUCCUCCAUUAAUUUUUCUAUUAUAUCAGUGAUAAAGUUAAAACCACAAAGUACUAAUAUAAAAAUUUGGUAAACCACAGGAUACAAAAGUGAAUAUUCAAUAAAGCAUAGGUGGAGUAUUUGAAGUUUUUUAUAUAUAAUUUAAUGAAGAGUUAAUGAAGGUGCUAAUGAAAAGAGAAAAACGAAACCAUAGGGUAAUAAAGUGAUACUUUUUAAACUAUAUGAUACUAAAGUGAAAAAGUACAAAAUCAGAGGGUUGGUAUUUGAAGUUUACCCUAAAUUAUAUGAAAUUAUUAUUAUAAAGAAAAAGGGCAGUUUCAUCAGUAACCUUAUCAAACUUGUAAAUUUUGUGAAUACUCCUCUAAACUUUAAAAUAUCAUAAAUACCUCUUCAAACACAUAAAAUUAUCAUAACUAUCCUUACCGUUAAGGACACAUCACUCUACCCGGAUUAAAAUAUAGUUAAAUAAGAGUUAAAAUAUAGAAUGACAAAUUUCCCCCCAAAAGUUAGAAUGAUAUAUUUGGCGGGAAAUAACUAAUUAAUGCUAAGGUAAAAAAUUUUGAAAAUUAAUAUACAAAAUACACGGUAAAAUUUUCACCCCCAAAUUUGUAAUUUUUUAGCUUAUAUAUUUUUUCAGCAUCUGUAUUUAG